rnacentral:lncRNA from 1 species
UAGUUAAGGCAAAAAUGCUAUACUUAAUUAGGUGCAACAUGGGAUGACCUGAUGUGCAUCCACGAAGAGGAUCACGAGCACACGUGAACGCUGGUGCUAAUUAGCCUCGCCCACACGAGUGACUCAUCCAGGUCUCUCCCGUCUUCCACCAGCACCGGCACCGAUCUGCCUCAUCUUCUGUGGCCUUAGAGCUAUGAAGGAACGGUGGAUCCUGGCCUUUGCCGGUGGUAGGGCUUCUACUUUAUUUAUAGGUGUUCUUUUUAGUCUGUUUAGGGUUUGUGUCCUGCUCGGGAAGACAAGACAACGGCAACUCCGUGAAGUUGGAACCAAGUUCUCCCUGCCUAGCCUCGUUCUGACGGUGCGUCUAGCGCCACCGGAGGGCGUGUGGAGCUUUGUCUCUGGGGGAUCUCGCGGGAUUCGGUCGGCGUUUGUCUUCGAUGGAUCCAUUUGGAUCCAGUUUUGUUCGUCUAUGUUCAAGUGUCUUCGGGUUGGAUCCUUCUGAUCUACGCUUUUCUUCAUCGGCGGCGGUUAUUGUUCUGGUGUGCUAGUCUUACUGCGCCUUAGCAUGAUGACUUCCCGAGUGUCUACUACAAUAAGGUUUGCUCUGCUUCGGCGAGGGAGGGAUGAUGACGGCGGCGUGCCUCGGCUCACUCUGGUGCUUGUAGUCGUCGCUAGAUGGUCUAUGGACCUGGAUGUAAUUUUUUUUGUACUUCCUUGACAGAUGAAGAAUAUAUCAAAGUUUUUCUGGAAAAAAUAGAAAUUUAGCAUGCACCACAUGCGACAAUUAACGUGGAAGGUGGAAAGGCCGAUUCUAGCUCUUGCGUCUCGGUUCCCACCAGCGUGGCCACUCUUCAGCACUAGGAUCGUCGUCAUGGCAAGCAGCAUGGAUUCACUAUACUCCCUCUCUCUAGGUGUGUAAGUCAUCUUACGUUGUGCACCGCGACCAAGGCGGAGAGGAAAACGAGAAAACUUAAUGUCUUUCUGCUAAUUAAUAACAUUGCAUGCAAUGAACUAACCACUGCAUGUCAUGUUUGGUAGUCUCAAGUCAUUGAAAGCAUGCACGGCCCACAUCUCUUAUUGGUUGAUAUGUCACAAAACAAGAAACGAGGAGGGAGUUAAUGUACCAUGCCUAAGUGUUUUGGGAUUAUUUGAUUUUCGUAAGGUGACUUACACACCUAGACGGAGGGAGUAAAAAAAACGUUUGGUCCAAUAGACUACAAUCUACUUGCUUUUUAAGCAAAACAAAACAAAUUUGUGAAUGCUUUUUAGGGCAAUUGUGUGUGUAUGGUUUGCAAAGAUGGAUAACGCAAAAAUUAUUCGAGGCAUCCUGCUAGGCAUUUUGUUUCACUUUGUCAUGGAUGCCUAGUUGUUAGUCAGAUCCUAUUGUCAGCCCUAAAAUAAGCCAAUCUACUUCUUACUAUAACCACCGACAGUGUACAUCUUAGGAAUGAACGGUACUUAGGAUAAUGCAAAAAAAAAAGCAUAAAGCUUUCUACGAGAAAAAUACUAUGUUCGAAAAUAGUUGUACACAUUAUGCAAUAAAAAUGGAUUUGACAUUAAUAACAAAUUUGUUGUUCCUCACAAUGUUCACUUGGUAGUUAAAUGUCAAGCUUGCAUAAAUAAAUAGAAGGUUAAUCAUGAUAGUAUGUACAAAUAUCUUUUCAAGUAUGUGACAAAAGUAUCUAGUUAAUGUGUGUGACUUAUCUACUGAUAUAAUGUUGUGUGGGACUUCUAAUGAUUUAUUGUUGGUACAUGUGUUUGUUGUUGAUGUCGCUUUUGUUUGUGAUGUUUAUAUUUGCUCCAUGGUCCAUAUAAACUUGGAAAUCCGGUGGAUAUGAGCAUUGGCAAAAAUUAUGCCCCAUGGAUAUGUGAAACCCCCACAGAUCAACAGUUGACAAGUGAAGAAACGUAAAACAAAACUACACCACCAUUGCACCCAUGGAUGAUUCUACAUCAUGGGCAUUGGGAGCAAAUUUGAUGGCAAGAAUCUGAGAAAGGGAGGUUUAAUUAACACCUAAUGUUGCAUCAAGACUAUAUAUAACCAACAAGAGUUCACACCCGAUCGACCUCGACAUCACGAGAUACACACAACCUUACACUGCAAAGUUGAAAAGACAAUAGCAAGAACAAGAGAGAACAAUCCUGCUAGCUAGUCUGCUAGUGCCUAAGUCGUUUAGAAGUUAUUAAUACCUCGUUCCAACAUGAGAAACCGCCGGCAGUCAGCCGAUGGCAGGCCAUCCAGCGUCACCGUGCACCUGACCAGCAUGGGAGUCAAGCGGCCGAGAUCCGAGGUGGUCUUCACGGCGUUCCCGUCCAGCCUCACCCGCACCACCAACGACGGCACGCCGCGCACGCGCUCGUACACCGCGUCUGGCAGCCCCAGCCCGCCGCCAGUGGCCACGAACGGCACGUCCACGGCGGUCCGUCCCGGGACGCAGAACUCGCCGAGGCGGUCGGCGUGCGCGAGCGGCACGCCGUCCAGUUCCACCACGGCGCUCCCCUCCUUGAAGCAGUGCCGCGGGAGGAGGUCGUUGUUCUCGACGCGGAGGAUGACAUGGAAGGUGGGCGGCGCGCUGGCGUCGCCGCUCCGGGCGUCGAGGCCCUCGAAGCCGGAGACGGCCACGGAGAAGAGCGGCGCGCUAGUAUGGGUAAGGAAAAGCAUGCAGAAUUGGCUGGCCCCGGCCGAUCCGGCGAGCAGCAUAAAGACAUACACGAGCCAUGGAUGCCUCUGCAGGAAUCCCGCUUCCUCCAUGGAUCUCUAUUGAUGAUGAUCAACGUACGGUUGGCUUCAUUGAUGCCAAGAUCGAUUAAACUAGCUAACUGAUUAGCAAGGUCUACGGCCUUACGUACGGGUAGCUGACUAACGGUUGAGCUGCAUGCAUGCAUCCAGCCUGUUUGUGACCAUGCAAUGGAUGCAAAGGCAAAAGGUAUAUUCACCGAAACCUUGUGAACGGAUAUAAAAUGUCCGGAUAUACACGCGGGAUUUUUGUUCCGAAUUUUUCAACUUUUUAAAAUGUGUGUUUUCGACAAUGGAUGCAUAUGCACCUAGGAGCAAAAAAGCCGCGUCCUCGUCCUCCUGUAUGAGAUAAUCUCUUGCGAGUGAGAUAGUAGUAACUCUUAACGGAACCAGGCCAAGUUUUCAACGAACUCACGAGUCAUUCGUUCGAUCUGGGACUGGGACAACUUUGGUAAGGAUGGGCCAGGGUGGCGUCGACCUAGAAGAACCCUACCAUGCAAUCUCCGAACGAGGAGGCGGCGCCGUUCUUGGGCGAGGCACCACCAUCACCCGCGGGACAUCGCCGUAGUCGCUGCGAGGAACUGCGCAGGCAAAUCAUCUGCCACUCAGUGCUCUGCCUUGUUGUGGCGGCGGUAUUGCUCGGUGGCCACUUCUAUGACGCCAUGGUGUGCGCCAACAUCCCCUCUUUCACCGUUCACCUCGCCGGGCUCGACGCGGCACGCCCAGCCCGCGUCGUCUCGCCGGCGUUCAACCUCACGAUCCGCAUCAACAAGACAUGCGCCGACCGUGCCCAUGUUGUCGUGUCCUACGCCGACGUCGCGCUCGGCUGGGCGCGCGCGGAGCCGCACGACUGCGCCGGUGAGCGCCCCGGUAGAGACGUGGCAGUGGUGGCACAAGGCAAGGGGUGGGGCUCUCGAGGGGGCUGCGCCAGCGCAUGGCGGAGGAGCGGCGGCGGUCGGGGGUGCUGGAGCUCAACGUCGAGGUGACGGUGUACAACGACGUCCCCGAUCACAUGUUCGGCUCCGACGUCCGUGACAAGGUGAUGUCGUGUAAGCUGAGGACGGAUGGACAAGGCACGUCCGCGGAGUCGGAGCCUUGCACUCGGUACCCAAUUACUCGUUAGUGCCUUUUGAUCAGAAAAUGGAUAAUCUUUCGAGGCAACAGAGAAUUUGAAAUAUAUAAUAGUAAGUGUGCCUCCAUGUGCCUAGAAAUUCUUAUUUAUUGGUCUAGUAUGGACAGCCUUAGUUUAGAAAGAAAAACGGUUUGCUUAUGGAUCAAGAUUUUCUCUAGUCUUAACGAAUUUAGGAAAGUGCAAAUUUGGCUAACUUUCUAGAAAAGUGCAAUUAGGGAAAAGAUGCAAGUUGUACUUUUCACUAAAUUGAAGUUAGACUUCUUUGAAUCGACUGAGAGUUUCUUAAAUCUCAGUCGAUUGUCGAUUGAGACAUAUAUGGACCAUAUUUUGUUUUUACCAACAAAUCUUAAUUUUAGUACCAAUAUGACAACAUGAUCGAAUGGUAUAUUUGAUUUAUGUGAUUUUGCAAAACAAUUCCCCUUCUGCUCUUGUUUCUACACCUACAUCCUAGCAUCAUUAUCGUGACCGAUGCCAUUAAAUGUCACAACUUGUGUUCAAAUAUUGUGAGGUCACACGUCACACUAGAGAAAAUAAGAAUGAUUUUAUUCUUUCCAUGAUGUAUUGGGUGUAAAAGAAUGCACAUAUAUUGUCAAGUACACAAGCAAACUUGAGAAGAAUAUGUGGUCUUGUGGUGGUUAGCACAUAUCGUAAGAUUGUGCUUUGUGUUGUUUUCAUCUAUUUUACAUUUUUCCACUCCUUUUAUUGGAUGUGAUUGCAGCUAAUUUCUUUUAAAAAUUUAAUGCGUAAUCAAGAUUACUCUAGCUUUUCGAAUCAUGCAAAGACGACAUACACCGGCCAAACACCAAUGAAUUUGAUUUCGUGAGGGAUUUGAGAUGAACGUGAUUCAGUGUCCUUUUUGGUUAGAGCAUUUCUUCUUUUUUUUUUUGAUCGGAACUGGCAGGAGCUCUGCCUUUUUCAUUAUAGGAGAGGGAAAGCUGCACAAAGUUUCUAAGUAAUAGAAACAGGAUGAGGGGGGGAAGCAGAGGGUAAAAUUAGCCUGGGCUGCUAAACAGCCCCACUACUCAAAAUGACCUACUCCUCCCAUGCCUCCGAAAGGAGGCUAAUGUCAUCUCUAGCUCUAACAAGAACAUCUGUUGACGGUUGCGCUGAAUCCUUAAAGAUCCUUCUGUUUCUCUCGAGCCAAAUAUUCCAAGCGAUGUAAACUGCCGCCGUGCAUUCGUCCAGUUGGCGUCCUUUUUUCUUUAGCUUUGCCACUCUGUUCCACCAAGCUGAGAUAGAUGAAGCGUGCCGAGCAGUCUGGGAUGCAAGCGGGAAGAAGGAGCUGGUCUUGAACCAUAUUUCUUUGGCAAAAGGGCAGUCAAGAAUCAAGUGAUGUGCAGAUUCCAGCACUUGAUCGCAACCAGCACACAAGUCAUUGUGGUCCCAGUUUCUCGCUUGCAGUCGAUCACCGGUCCAAAGUCUAUUCUGAAGGAGGGUCCAGAUAAAGAACUUUACUUUCUUUUCAGCUGUAAUCUUCCAGACCUGCUGCAGGUGUGGUGAGGGAUACGCGUCAAGAACUGAACUUGGUAAGCCGAUUUUGCCGUGUAUUGUCCGCUAGUCGUUAGCUUCCAAGUGAUUGUGUCAGGUCUAGAGAGCAAGGAAACAUUCUGUAAUUUCAUCCAGAGGCUAAAAAAGAGUUCAUCAGCCCAGCAGGGUUGAUAUUCUGCAGUCCUCUCAUCCAUGCGUCUCCAUCAAGAGCCUGACUGACAGUGAGCCCUUUGGACCUUGCCAUCCGAAAAAGAUCAGGAGCCCAAUCUUUUGGAGCUUGGCCCUCUAACCAUCUAUGACUCCAGAAUUUCAUAAAACGGCCAUCUCCCAGAGAAAUCGAAGUGCAUGCCGCAAAAAGAUUAAGGUCAGGUUGAUUGCAAGGCACCGGGGUCCCUUUUCAUGGCCUGUCCGAGCUAUCCCAUUCACACCAAGGCCAUCGAAGCCGAAGAGCCCGGCCAAAAGCAUUGAUAUCCUUGAUGCGCAGGCCACCCACGCUUAAAGGUGCACAGAUUCUCUUCCAGUUAACCAGACAUUUUCCCCCAUGCGCCUCCUCAUCGGCGUUCCAAAGGAAAUUUCUCCUUAGCUUAUCAAAUUUGGUAGUGAACCAUCUGCUGGGGGAGAAAGACGUGAGGAAAUAGGUGAUGGUGGCAGUGAGGACUGAGUUGAUCAGGUCAAGUCGGCCCGUUCUAUUCAUGAGCCUUCCUUUCCAAACAGCUAGUUUGCUUGUACCCUUGUCCAGGAGCGGUUGGAGAUCAAUUCUCCUCAAAUUUCUCAACGAGAGGGGCAGCCCCAAGUACUUGCAAGGGAAAGAUCCCACAGAUCCCCCAAAGCUGGCUGAGAGGAUGUUGACAUCAAGAUGCUGACACUGAAUAGGGUAGAGCACACACUUGGUGGGGUUGAUUACAAGACCUGAGACACUGCCGAAGAUCUCCAGAAUUCUGAUAUGGUCUCGAUCUGUCGGCUGUCAGGAGUGGCAAAGAUUGUGGCGUCGUCAGCAUAGAGACUGGCCCUCAAUCUAGCCGCGUUCCGGGGGAUUGGGUCCAGAAUGCCAUGAUUUGUUGCUUUUUCCAGGAUUCUCAUGAGUGGAUCCAUAGCCAGAAUGAAAAGCAUCGGAGAAAGAGGGUCCCCUUGACGAAAACCUUUUUUAUGGGCAAAAGCUGGUCCGGGCAGGCCAUUGAGGAGCACACGAGAGGAUGAGGAAGUUAACAACAGACAAAUGAUGUCCCUCCAGCGCUUUCCAAACCCAUAAGCCUUCAUAACAUCAAGCAGAUAUGGCCAGCUAACAGAGUCAAAAGCUUUCGCGAAAUCGAGCUUCAGAAAUAUCAGCGGGAUAUUCCGCUUGUGAGCAUCUUUUAUGGUAUUCUGAACAUAGAGGAAGUUGUCCUGGAUAGAUCUCCAGCGAAUGAAAGCACUCUGGGUGCAGGAGAUGAGGCGUUGAAGCUCCGGGCCCAACCGAUUUGCAAGGAUUUUGCAGAAAAUCUUGGCAAAACUGUGCAGCAAACUGACGGGCCUGAAAUCCGAGGCAUGCAUGGAAGUUGUAACCUUUGGCAACAGCACAACGUGAGCAUAAUUGAGCAGUUUGCAGUUGUCUCCUCUGAGGUGAUAGAAUUGCUGAAUCGCAGCUACCAAAUCCUCCUUUAUUAGCGCCCAGAAGCGCUUGAAGAAUCUGCCAAUAAAGCCAUCCGGCCCGGGAGCCUUUUCGCCAUGCAGAUCAAAGACUGCUGCUUUUAUCUCAUCCUCGGUGAAUUGCGCAUCCAAACUUUGCAGGUUAGCCGAGGGCAGCCGCAACAUGUCCCGUUCAAAACUCUUCUCUCAUGCAUCGGUGUACCCAACAGGCUCUUGAAGUGAUCCAGAAGAAUUUCCUCUUUCUGCAUGUGAUCAGACACAUCCCCUUGUGGUCCUCUAAGCGUAGGAAUAUGAUUUUUCCUUCUUCCGUUCGCCCUAAGAUGAAAAAGCUUUGAACUAGCAUCGCUAGCCUUGAUUGUGUUUAUUCUGGACCGUUGGCGCCAUCGGAUCCUCUCCAUAGCCGCAAUUCCUAACAGCAUGGCCUUGAGAAAUCUACGGAGCUUCCAUUCAGGCUCGGAAAGCUCGCGGCUUUCCAUUGCGAGGUCGAGCUAAAAAAUGACCUCAUUUGCAACAUUGAAAGCCAGGUUGGAAGCUGCCCUUAUGCUCUUGUCCCAAGCCCUGAGGGCCUUAGCCGUGCGUGCGAGCUUUGUAUGCAGUCUCCUGACGGAGUCACAAGAUCUCAGAUUCUUGUUCCAGCUUCGAGCGACCACAUCAUCAAGACCUUGCAUCUUGAGCCAGUAAGCCUCAAAUCUGAAGCCCUUGAAUACUUUGACAUCCAUCUUCGCCAGCAGCAAGGGAGUGUGAUCUGAAACAGCCGAGGAAGCCGGUGCGAGCUGAUAGUGAGGAUGACUGAGUUCCCACUCAUUCGAUAUAAGCACGCGAUCAAUUCUGGUCAACGUUAUGCCGGCUCGCUCAUUAGACCAAGUGAAUUUCUUUCCAGUGAGAGGCAGAUCCCUCAGCUCCAGCAGGCCAAUGGUGCUUCUGAACUGAGCCAUCAUUCCCAGGUUAAUAUUGGAAUUGUUUUUAUCCUCGGCCUUGCUAAUAAGAUUGAAAUCUCCCAAGAGCAGUCAUUCUUUCAAAACCAAAGAUUUCAGGGCAGUCAACUCAGCUAGGAAACGACGCUUGUCUUCAAUCAUCUGUGGUCCAUACACCCCCGUGAUGGUCCAAGAGGCAUUAUUCGACUUAUCAGAGAUCGUGGCCGUAAGUGAGAACUCAUCUGGGGCUGACAACAGCCUAUCGAUGGAAAAAUCACCGGAGCAAGCAAUUAAAAUGCCCCCUUUUGAACCACACGCAGGCUUGAAAAUGAAGCUAUCAGAGAAUCUUGACCCCACAGCUUCUGAGACGAUCAUCUUGUCAAAGUGUUCCAAUUUCGUCUCCUGCAGACAAACAAUGUUACAGCUCAGCUCCGCAAUCAGCUUUGUCAGAGAUCUUCUCUUCGCAGGAUUAUGCAGCCCCCUGACAUUCCAAUUGAGUAGCUUUAUAUCCAUAAACAACUGGUGACUCUUUGAGAAACAAUGUCCCAAACCAGAGGCCAAAAGGAGCACAGCAUCAACACCGCAACCAGCAUUCCAUGCCGCGAACAAACAGCCCUAAGCAGCCAGGCUUGACUAGCAACACUCAGCUUAACGGAACACAUCAAUCUGACAACACAUUGCAGAGGCAGACUCAAGUUCAGAGGAACAACACCCUUCGAACUGACGAACAAUCGCACUAACUUCAGAGAAGAACAUGGAAGAAACAAACUAAACAUAGAAAAACUGGAGACACUUGGUUCGCAGACCGAGCUCAAACUGCCAUAGCCUGCCCUUCAGCCACCAUCCUGGCCGUCGACGCUUUGCUCUUCGGGGCCUUGGUCUUUCCACUUGCAGUCGCUUCCACCAGCGCGGUUACGGCGUCGAUGAAGCGUUGGGGGAGCUCUUCCUUGUACAGGUCCUUGUACUUCUGGAGCGCUCCGGGCGUGGGCGGCCCAUCGCCGACGAGAAUCCCCUCCUUCUUCAUAAGAACAAGGCGGGCCUUGUCCAUGGAGCUCAGACCACUAGAGGACUUGGCCGCCAGCCGCCCGCUGCUCCUUUGCGGACCGGGGGCGGGCGCAGGAGGAGCUGGGUCCUGCCGCGGGAGAUCCAUCGAGGGAGGCGGCGCGAGGAUGGGAGGGGCGGAGGGCGGCGGCGGGGCCAAUCCCAGCAGCGGCGGGCAAGCGGAGGAGACAGGGGCGCUGAUGGAGUCUAGGAAAGAGGAAAUACGGUCGAUGUCGGCCUGCGCAUCAGCAUCACAUGAAGCCUCCAGAGCCAUGGGCUGGCUCGGUCCGUCCUGCUGAGGAGCCAUGGGCUGGCUCGGCCCGUCCAGCUGAGGAUCCAGGCCCGGAUCCGACAGCGGGCGAAGGCCGGGCUCGGCUGGGCUCACAUCCAAGAGCUGCAGCCCAUCUUGAUCUAUGUCCUGCGGCUCAAUAUCCUUUUCGGCCCUUGACUUAUGAGGCGCGCCGACGCCCAAGGAAUCAACAUGGGAUAUUCCUUCGAUGCCAAUCUUCGUCCUCAUCUCUUGGUCAGCGACAGAGCCAGAGGUCAGCGCCAGAAUUUGAGCAGCGGGGACAUCAACCGUGGCUGCCUGCCGUCCUGCCUGGCCCAGACUUGCGAAGGGAUGGCAACUGUCCAUCUGUCCCUCCGCGGCCCGGGGCGCUUCAGCUGCCCAAGAAACGGCUGACGCCAGCCCCACAUGGCCCUCACCCGGGCGGGUCAGCAAGAUGGGCGCGGCGGCGGAGCUCGAGAAUGGGUCGCCGGAGACAGUCGAAGAGAUGAUGGGUGCGGUGUCCAUCAGCGACAUGGCCGCACCACCUGAGCCGUGGUAUAGCCUUCUUCUUCCGCCGGCCUGCGGAGGUCCAUCACCGCCCCUGGAUGAGCCGGCUUGCCCCAGCCCGCGGGCGUGAUUCCCGGAGCUGCCAUUGUUGGGGGCCGGUCUCGCUGGCCAGCACCGCCCCCACCACCACCAGGGGGUGGGGGUACCAGGGUCUUGCUUGCGCCGUGACUCUUGAGGGAGGUGGAGGGAAAUCACCGUCUUCAUAGUUGAGGUACCAGCGGUAGCCCCAUUUAGCUGGCCAAUCCGGGGUCGAUGACGCCUCCGAGGAGAUCCCGCUAAUGCCACUGUGGCUGCUCCGUCCGCUGUCCGAGCUAGAUUCCGGCGGGUAUCGAAAAUCAAUCACCCUGUCCAGGUGGAUGAGGACUGGGUGCCCGAGAAGGCCGACCUGCCCCCAUCUCUCUGGCUGUUCCUCCAUGAUACCGAUCUCAGGAAAAUGCCUCAUCGGUGUUUCGAACUCUCUGGGCUCCUCCAACUGCAGAACCCCUCUUGUUUUGAGCUUCUGAACGUCGUCCGUCCAAACCCAUAUCCGCAGGCACCCUGUUUCCUCUUCAGACCUCACCUCUGGAUCGAUUCCUUCAAUGAGCAUGGAUGGAUCAAACAGGUUGCGAACAGAUUCCACGUCCCAAGCAUGCUCAGGGACUCCCUCGAGUCAGACUCUCGUCUUGAACAGCAUCUUGGUCGGGCUUGCACGGCAGAAACGCGUCCACGCCGAGAGCAGGAAAGACACGCUGCCAAUGGAGAGCGGGCCUUGGAUUGCAAUGGCGUCGUCGCGGGCGCGCGCAUCAUCGAAGAUGAGGAGAUACUCGCCCAGAGCCCGCUGAGACACCUUGACCACCUCUUGAUGGACCCAGAAGCGCUGCGCCAUAGCCCAACGGAUGCCGGCCAGCUCGAUGGAGGGAUGGAAGCCCACCACGACAGCCACCACCCCGCACCUGGUGAGCCGGCGCUCCGCAUCAGCCAAUGCCGCAGAUCGCCUGGCCGAGGCCGUCACCGACCCGCGUCGCAGCUCCACAUCAGCGGCUGGGGCCUCCAUGGGGGCGCGGACCGCACCUGGAGGAGGAGGGCCUGGAGGCGGAGGCAGAGGCGGGGGAGACGCCUGAGGGGCCUGCGCCUUGGCCUUGGAGGAGCACCACCUCGCCUUGUGACCAGCUUCGCCGCACAAUAAGCACUUGGGGCGGUUACCGCAGGCAGCAAUCUUGUGGUUGGGCUCAAAGCAUUUGAAGCAUCUACCCCGAGCUCUUUUGCGGAGGAGCUCACGGAAGUGAGAAGGCUUUGGCUGGGAGGAAGAAGAGCGAGGGAGGGUACGCUGGUAAAAGGGGGGGCGCCUCCCUCUUCCCACCAUCUGUAGGGGAACGCAGCAGAAAAAAAAAAUUUCCGACCUACGCACCAGCCCAGGACCACUAUGGAGACUGCAUACAUGGUUUGAUCUUUUUCGUUACCGACUCGUAGUGCAGCGGGAAGUAGAGUCGAUGACGAUCGGCGGUGCAGAUCCCCGCAGCUAGGAUUUACAACCUCCCAACCGCGAGGAUGUAUACCCUCAUCUUCUCCUCAGACAGCUCUCCGGGAGGCGGUCGAACAACCCCCCGGACGGUGUCGCGGACAGCCCUUCGGGAGGACCUUCGAAACUCGAACGGUCACUCGGACAGCCCUUCGGGAGGACCUUCGAAACUCGGACGGUCACACGGACAGCUCUUCGGGAGGCACUCACGAACUAAGACCGAAACUACGAUCUCUCUACAGAGUUGCACACAUACGGUGUCAUCUAUCCGGCAGGGCUUCGCCGUCCAGAACUAGUUCCUGCCGGAACCCAGACAGCCUUACGGCUCUACGAAACUCUUUUCGUGGGAGGGAGAGAAGAAGCCAGAUAAUGCAUGGCAUGUGUAUGAGAGCAAGGGAUGAGUGUGGAGGGCUGCCCCUCCACCUCUAUUUAUAGGAAAUCCCAAGGGGGUAGGGUAGUUUCACAAAAAACCCAAAAUGCACAUGAAUGAAGUCCUUCCACAAGGACCUAGGAGUGAAACCAAGGAACAAGAGGGUCCCCAAGGGGGGAUACCCCAUGUGGCCGGCCACACCCCCAUGAGGGGCCCAAAAAAUGGCUCCUAUCCAUCCAUGUCAUCCCCAAGAUCUUUUGGAGCAAAGCCCAAAAGGUGGCUUUCCAUAAAGUAACCAUAAAGCUGAUUUUCACUAUUCACGACGACAUUUUUCAGCGUCUGAUCGAACUGAAAAUAUUUAUGUGGGCUAAGAACAUUUCCAAUACCCACUAAAUGAUUUUCAACGCGUUCCGAAACAAUUCCGGUUUUAGUGAUUUUCAUCUGCGAAACGCAUCUGAAGUGGCUCCGGCAGCUCCGGAACAUUUCCGGUUUUUUAUCUCAGAAAAUUCCAAAAAGCUUCCAGAAUGAUUCUGGCAUCCUCCAAGAAUUAUCAGGCAUGUGCCGAAACCAAUUUGACUUAAUGGUGUAUCCCGAAACAACAUUUCGGUAUCAUCGAAACUUAUCCGAUGACCUCUCUCUGCGGUACGAUUCCGCUGUCCGAAACUUUUCGGUGUCAGAAACUUUUUCGAUGAUUUUCUCUCAGACUCCCUGUCUAGUAUUCAGCAGAUAGAUGACCCUUAAGCGUGUGACCCUAUAGGUUCGGUGAAGUAUAGACAUGACCCGGAACCCCUUCCGAUCAAUGAUCAACAUCGGAGCCGUGGACACCCAUAUUGACCCCUAUACCCACACGAAUAAAUAUUCGAGUGAACCUCCAGUUGCCGUGUGCUAUUCCUGUUGCUUCGCGAUAUGUUACAAAUACCCGAGGUGAGACAUGUUGGCAUUCCCGUGGAUCAACAACUUGUCCACUAUGCUAGUUACCUCGUUACCGGUAUUGUUCUCUUUUCUCGUUAUCGUGUUCCGGCAUCCCCGUGAUCAAAUCACAAAGUGUCUGGCCAGACGAUGAUGGAUACCGUAACACCGAGAGGGCCCAGAGAUAUCUCUCCAUCGUCGGAGGAGCAAAUCCCAAUCCUGAGCUAUCAAGUUACUUGACACACUUUUCCAUGAACCCGUAAGCCGCCGUAAUAGCCACCCAAUUACGGAUGACGUUUAACAAACCCCAAAGUUCAUGAAGCAAGCAUGAAGAAACUCGAUACUCUCAUGGUCUAAGGAAUCAUGCAAACGUUAACCAUCUCUGUGUUAUGUACCAAUAAACUUGUGACGAAUGAAUCUCAUAGCAUAACAUCAUGCCGGGUCGAUUCAACACAAAUGUUCUCUUAACAUUAUGCCCUCAAGGUUGCUGACAUAGACAUGCCCAUGAUCAGGAAAACAUAACCAUCAUGCAACACUUGAGCUAGUCUUAGAGGCCAGACUAGGAAUACAUUUUACCGUUUAUUAUUCCACACGUGCAUAUGAGUCUUCCUCCGAGCCUCGUGGUUAUUGCAGACUCGAGAACCAUAGCAGUUAUAGCAUGGAACAUAAACAUAAUUAUGAACUCGGAGCCGUGGACACCCAUAUUGACCCCUAUACCCACACGAAUAAAUAUUCGAGUGAACCUCCAGUUGCCGUGUGCUAUUCCUGUUGCUUCGCGAUAUGUUACAAAUACCCGAGGUGAGACAUGUUGGCAUUCCCGUGGAUCAACAACUUGUCCACUAUGCUAGUUACCUCGUUACCGGUAUUGUUCUCUUUUCUCGUUAUCGUGUUCCGGCAUCCCCGUGAUCAAAUCACAAAGUGUCUGGCUAGACGAUGAUGGAUACCGUAACACCGAGAGGGCCCAGAGAUAUCUCUCCAUCGUCGGAGGAGCAAAUCCCAAUCUUGAGCUAUCAAGUUACUUGACACACUUUUCCAUGAACCCGUAAGCCGCCGUAAUAGCCACCCAUUUACGGAUGACGUUUAACAAACCCCAAAGUUCAUGAAGCAAGCAUGAAGAAACUCGAUACUCUCAUGGUCUAAGGAAUCAUGCAAACGUUAACCAUCUCUGUGUUAUGUACCAAUAAACUUGUGACGAAUGAAUCUCAUAGCAUAACAUCAAUCCGGGUCGAUUCAACACAAAUGUUCUCUUAACAUUGUGCCCUCAAAGUUGCUGGCAUAGACAUGCCCAUGACCAGGAAAACAGAAUCAUCAUGCAACACUUGAGCUAGUCUUAGAGGCCAGACUAGGAAUACUUCUUACCGUUUAUUAUUCCACACGUGCAUAUGAGUCUUCCUCUGAGCCUCGUGGAUAUUGCAGACUCGAGAAUCAUUGCAGUUAUAGCAUGGAACAUAAACAUAAUUAUGAACAGGGAGAUAAUCAAUAACAUUUAUUAUUGCCUCUAGGGCAUAUCUCCUACACCAUCGUCCAUCCAUCCUCAUCAAUGCGGGGAGGGGUUGGCACAGAUCUGAUCCUAGGAGGGAUGGAGAUCAUUGAUUGGGGCCUGGGCUGAACAGACGCAUCAGCGCAGACCUCCAAGCGUUGCGGCAGCAAUGAAGGCUCCCGAGAACGCGGAGGACAGAGCAAGGCGUCCCGGAAGGUGGUGGGCAAGGUUCCGUCCCCCGCAAUGAAGGCAAAGGAUUCUAGCGCGCGAACACCCGCCGGCGGGCGGGGCGGGGCGGGUGGGGCUUGCGGGGCAGCCGGGGCGAGCGACGAGCGCAUGUCGGCCAGAGAGGAGGAGCAAGGCGGGCACGCAAAGACCCCCCUUGCGCCGCCGAGGAGGCGACGCCGGAGGGGGAGGCGGCGGGGGAGGGGAGGAGAGAAGCUAGUAUGUUUUGCAGAUCAUCCAAUGAUUCUUCUUCUUCUUUUUUUUAUGGGAGAUGGAGCCUUUCCUCCUUAUUUCUACAGGAGCAACAGGAGGAUAUGAUGGUGACAAUGUAGAACGGAUUAAUUACAUUGGGCUAAUUAGUCAGGUCCACUAUUAUGUACUCUUACCUCUUGAUACCUCUCAUGAGUAAUGAGGUAAUACUAGGACGUUAGAGACCAUGUCAGAACUGCUCCACUUUAGAAGAUACACUUUAAUCAAAUGAUGCACUUUGUGCUAACUACAUGUUGCCUUCUCGAUCGGUUUUAUUCGAUAAGCCCCCCUCCCCACAGGUGAUCAACUUGAGAAUCUCUCAUAUACUAUACAUUUAAGUAAGAGAAUCAACUAGUUGUUCAUCAGACAGGGUAAACUAGUGCAGGCUCCUCAACUUUUGCCGAAAGGCGGUGUCAUUAUGGGAGUAACAUAUAUAUGGAAGAAAGUGAUUGAUUGGCAUUAGCAAUUUUAUAACUCCGAUUGAUGCUUCUUACAUUUGCACUGCUCUUUCUGAGCCAUCACUUGGAAACGAUCGAGGCUGUGUUAAGCAUAUCGAUCCCAAAACUCUGCUUUGUUUUACUAUUUUUUUAACAGAAAAGUUUGUGAAAACCUGCCCGAGGAAACAGAAUUUCAAACACAUUCAAAAUGCAGGAGGCCUAUUCUUGAAACCCAUUCAAAACCAAAAAUCAAACUUGAGUGAAACCUCCGACAGAUUAUCUGUUUGCGCCUCGUAAUUGUAAUGUUUUGAGAUCAGCACCUCGUAAUUGACACUCGAUAGUACUAGAAAAGGAUACAUUUUAGGGGCUUCGGUGAUGAGACUCAGAGCCUCAAGUGCUGCUGCUGGAGUGCAGACGAGACCUUGUAGUGCCGCUGGAUCACCUCCUCCGCCGUCGUGCUGCUGUACCGCGCGCCGCCGUCGGUGACGGCGAUCGGCUCUAUCACCGUCGUCGACGCGGCGGUGCGGUCCGUCCGGAAGAAGCACGCCACCGAGACCCGCGGCCCCACGGCGUUGGCCACCACGCGGUGCUCCACGCUCCUGAACCUGCCGUUGGACAUGAUCUGCAGGAAGUCCCCGACGUUCACCACCAGCGCCCCCGCCACCGGCGGCACGUCCACCCACACCGGCCGCUUCCGUUCUCCGCCGUCCUCGGCCUCGGGGUCGACGAGUAUCUGGAGGCCGCCGACGGCGUCCUGCAGGAGCACGGUGAGGAAGUCGGCGUCGGAGUGCCGCGGGGUGCCGAGGGUGAGCUGCGGCUCCGGGCAGGCCGGGUAGUAGUGGCAGGCGAGGCUGACCCCGUCCAGGCACCCGUGCUCCUCCUCCAGGUGGCCGGGGCGGAGGCCCAGCGCCUCCGACAGCAGCCCCAGCAGCGUGCGGCCCAGCCCCUGCUGCACCAGCCGCGCGUACUCCGGCGCGGCGCUCCUGCACGCCGCCGGGAUCUCCUCCGGCGCCGGCAGCUCCAUGAAGAGCGUGUCGCGCCAGUUGGCCGCCCGCGACUUGAACAGGUUGAGGUUGCUCUGGUACCGGACGCGCCGGCCGAGGUCGCGGGUGUAGAACGGCGCCUUGGCCUCCACGGGCUGCUCGAAGAAGCCGCGCACCGCCGCGAGCAUCGCCGCCGUGGCCGCCUCCGGCACGCCGUGGCCCACCACCUGGAAGAAGCCCGCCGUCUCCGCGGCCUCCUUCACCUGCGCGACCGCCGCGGCUCGCGUGGUGACCGCGGCGGACAGGUCGAUGACCGGGACGGUGAAGCGGUGGGGUUGGGGCGCGGCGUCCGGGAGGGACUCCGGCGGGUGGUGGAAGAUGGAUGGGACGGCGGUGACGCCCGCGUCGGCGAGGCCCUUGACGCCCGCCCUGGUGUCGUCGAACGCCUUGAGGUCGAGGGCGCGGAGGUGGUCGGCGGAGGCCAUGGAGCGAUGCUGCGGUGCUUCCUGCUCCUCUCGAUUCUUGAGUUUGUGCGCGCCACAAGUGGAGUCGUGUCUCUCUCCUCUCUUUAUCGAACGUCUAGUGGCUGCACAUAUAUUCUGCUGCCGUGUCACCUGCCACUAAAUGAUUGAUUCUGUGCAAACAAAAGCUAGCGAAUAUCAACAAAUAAUAGCCUGAAACAUAGUGCGCAUUUGUUUUUUUUUCUUGAGGGGUUAGUGCGCAUUUGUUUGGUUGGAGCAUCUGCCAUAUGUUGAAAUAUCCUCCUCAUGUGGGCUGUGAGAAGAUGACCAUUUAAGGCCUUUUUAGGAAGCCAAAGAGGUGCAGAAGCUCACUAUCUAUUAGGGUUAUGAUCUAGGGUUAUUUUGGACUUUGCACAUGAAUGAAUGGGGAUGCUUUACCCUCCAUCCAGCAGCCAUCAUCAAGUGUGACGAAAAUCAGUUCAUCCUCCAAGAAAGAAGAAGAGAGAAAACCAAGAGGGCAAGGGAAGAAGAGGAAGAUUGAAGGAAGAAGCAAAGGGAGCUCCUCCCCAAGGUUGUGAUGGUCCAGAUCCACUACCUUGUCUCCUUCAAGCUUCGGUUCCACCAUCUUUGAUGAGAUUGUUCCAAUCCCUAGUUCUUGAGCUCCAAAUCUUGUUGUGUUCAUCCAAGAUUCAGAAAUCUUGAUGUAUGAGAUCCUCUAGUACUGUCUAGAGAAGACCUUGUUGUAUCCCACAUUUGAUAAUAGUGGAAGAGGAUUUGGGUGGCCUCGGCCCGUGGUUUUUCCCCUCAAGUUGGGGGUUUUCCACGUAAAAUCUGGUGUCUCUUUGUUGAUGCUUGGCGCUGUCCAGAAACUUACUCCUACCAUAAGACACUAGGCUGAGGAGUGUCUUGCCUGCUUAGUAACAUUUUCUGCCUCCAUAUAUGCUGCUGCAUAUGUUUCCUUCCGUGCUAAGCAACGAUCCUUGAGUUAGUACAUGAUGUGGUGCUGAGAUUACUUUGUUUCCGCUGUAGUUUUCAGUUAACCACAAGUGCAUUUGUGUGCUAAUUCCCAACAGAGUGGCAUCAGAGCCUUGGUUGCUUAGAAGGUUGCAAAUCCCAGUUGCUUGAUUGUUGCUGGAAGUGCUGCUCACAAUGGCUUUGGAAGAAAGCGCUACUACAAGUGGCAUGAUAAAACUUGAUUCUUCCAAUUACUCAUUAUGGAAGCCCAUGAUGGAAGACAUCCUUUAUUGCAAGGAUUUGUAUGAGCCAAUUGUGAAAGACAAGAUACCCACAGGUGUCACAGAAGAAGAAUGGAGAGUGUUGCACAGAAAGGCAGUAGGUAUGAUUCGGUUGUACAUCAAACACAAUAUUUUCCACCAUGUUGCAAAUGACACAAAUGCUUAUGAGAUGUGGCAGAAGUUGGAGUCCAUGUAUGAGAGGAAGACAUCAAUGAACAAGGCAUCGGUGAUCAAAAGACUUGCAAAGCUUGAGUACCGAGAUGGCACAAUUGUGAUUGAGCACUUGAAUGUCUUCCAAUGCCAUAUAAAUCAACUUUCAGCCAUAAAGAUCAACUUUGAGGAUGAGGUGCAAACAUUGUUGCUGCUGAGUUCCAUGCCUGAUAGUUGGAACACGCUUGAUGUGUCACUUAGCAAUUCAGCUCCGGAUGGGAAGCUGAGUUUGGAGAUGGUGAAGAACAGUAUGCUGAAUGAAGAAGCCAGAAAGAAGGAAAAGGGUGAUGCAUCUUCUUCUGAUGCGUAUGUGGCUGAAACCCAUGGGAAGAAUGAGAACCGUGGACGCAGCAAUACAAGAUUUCAGCAAGGCAAAAAUAAAUCCAGGGGGAGAUCAUAGUCAAAACAGAUAAAAGAUAUUACUUGCUUUCAUUGUGGCAAUCCGGGACACAUAAAGAGCAAGUGCAGGAAGUACAAAAGAGAGCUUGCAGAGGGGAAACUCACAAAGAAAACCGAGCAAAAGGCUGAGAGCAGUUCAGCCAUGACCGCAACAGAUGAAGACUAUCUAGUCAUUGAAGAUGAAGAUUGCUAUAGUGUUGUUCGUAAUGAUGCCAUGAGUUGGGUUGUGGAUUCAGGUGCGUCCUUCCACAUCACAUCACACAAGGAGUAUUUCACAUCUUACACUAGUGGUGUUACUGGCCAAGUGAGGAUGGGAAAUAGUGGUUCGUCAGCAAUUGUUGGCAAGGGCUCUAUAUGCAUUGAAACAAACACAGGUUGCAGAUUGGUGCUCGAUGAUGUGAGGCAUGUUCCCGACAUAAGGCUGAAUUUGUUGUCAGUGGGCAAGCUUGAUGAUAUCAAAUAUCCUAGUUAUUUUGGUGAAGGAAAAUGGAAGCUCACUAAAGGCUCUUUGAUUGUGGCUCGAGGAAGUAAGCAAGGUAAUCUCUAUGUGACUAAAACCAAGUUGUGCAAUGAGGUGUUGAACGUUGCUGAAAAAGACACUUCGGUUGAAUUGUGGCACAAGAGGCUUCGGCAUAUGAGUGAGAAGGGCAUGCAUGGUCUUGCUCGCAUGGAGUACCUCCCCGAGUUGAAAGGUAUAUCCUUGAAACCCUGUGCACAUUGUUUUGCUGGCAAACAACAUAGAGUUGCAUUUCGUACACUCCCUCCAUAUCGUGCAGAAAAUGUUCUUGAUAUUGUGCACACUGAUGUUUGCUCCAUGACUGAAAAAUCUCAUGGUGGAGCAUUAUACUUUGUGACUUUUAUUGAUGACCAUUCCAGAAAGGUUUUUGUGUAUGUGCUGAAACACAAAUACCAGACGCUUGAUGUUGGAAAUAUGCCCUAGAGGCAAUAAUAAAAAUGGUUAUUAUUAUAUUUCCUUGUUUAUGAUAAUUGUCUAUUAUUCAUGCUAUAAUUGUGUUAUCCGGAAAUCGUAAUACAUGUGUGAAUACAUAGACCACAACGUGUCCCUAGUAAGCCUCUAGUUGACUAGCUCGUUGAUCAACAGAUAGUCAUGGUUUCCUGACUAUGGACAUUGGAUGUCAUUGAUAACAGGAUCACAUCAUUAGGAGAAUGAUGUGAUGGACAAGACCCAAUCCUAAGCAUAGCGCAAACAUCGUGUAGUUCGUUUGCUAGAGCUUUUCCAAUGUCAAGUAUGUUUUUCCUUAGACCAUGAGAUCGUGUAACUCCCGGAUGCCGUAGGAGUGCUUUGGGUGUGCCAAACGUCACAACGUAACUGGGUGACUAUAAAGGUGCACUACGGGUAUCUCUGAAAGUAUCUGUUGGGUUGACACGGAUCGAGACUGGGAUUUGUCACUCCGUAUGACAGAGAGGUAUCUCUGGGCCCACUCGGUAAUGCAUCAUCAUAAUGAGCUCAAUGUGACUAAGGAGUUAGCCAGGAUCAUGCAUUACGGUACGAGUAAAGAGACUUGCCGGUAACGAGAUUGAACAAGGUAUUGGGAUACCGACGAUCGAAUCUCGGGCAAGUAACAUACCGAUUGACAAAGGGAAUUGCAUAGGGGAUUGAUUGAAUCCUCGACACCGUGGUUCAUCCGAUGAGAUCAUCGUGGAACAUGUGGGAGCCAACAUGGGUAUCCAGAUCCCGCUGUUGGUUAUUGACCGGAGAGGCGUCUCGGUCAUGUCUGCAUGUCUCCCGAACCCGUAGGGUCUACACAUUUAAGGUUCGGUGACGCUAGGGUUGUAGAGAUAUGUGUAUGCGGAAACCCGAAAGUUGUUCGGAGUCCCGGAUGAGAUCCCGGACGUCACGAGAGGUUCCGGAAUGGUCCGGAGGUGAAGAAUUAUAUAUAGGAAGUCCAGUUUCGGCCACCGGGAAAGUUUCGGGGGUUACCGGUAUUGUACCGGGACCACCGGAAGGGUCCCGGGGGUCCACCGGGUGGGGCCACCUAUCCCGGAGGGCCCCAUGGGCUGAAANNNNNNNNNNNNNNNNNNNNNNNNNNNNNNNNNNNNNNNNNNNNNNNNNNNNNNNNNNNNNNNNNNNNNNNNNNNNNNNNNNNNNNNNNNNNNNNNNNNNNNNNNNNNNNNNNNNNNNNNNNNNNNNNNNNNNNNNNNNNNNNNNNNNNNNNNNNNNNNNNNNNNNNNNNNNNNNNNNNNNNNNNNNNNNNNNNNNNNNNNNNNNNNNNNNNNNNNNNNNNNNNNNNNNNNNNNNNNNNNNNNNNNNNNNNNNNNNNNNNNNNNNNNNNNNNNNNNNNNNNNNNNNNNNNNNNNNNNNNNNNNNNNNNNNNNNNNNNNNNNNNNNNNNNNNNNNNNNNNNNNNNNNNNNNNNNNNNNNNNNNNNNNNNNNNNNNNNNNNNNNNNNNNNNNNNNNNNNNNNNNNNNNNNNNNNNNNNNNNNNNNNNNNNNNNNNNNNNNNNNNNNNNNNNNNNNNNNNNNNNNNNNNNNNNNNNNNNNNNNNNNNNNNNNNAAAGGGGGGAGGGAGGGCAGCAACCUACAGCCUUGGGCGCCUCCCUCCUCCCCUGCAACACCUCUCUCUCUCUCUCGCAGAAGCUCGGCGAAGCCCUGCCGAAGAUCCGCUACAUCCACCACCACGCCGUCGUGCUGCUAGAUCUCCAUCAACCUCUCCUUCCCCCUUGCUGGAUCAAGAAGGAGGAUACGUCGCUGCACCGUACGUGUGUUGAACGCGGAGGUGCCGUCCGUUCGGCACUCGGUCAUCGGUGAUUUGGAUCACGACGAGUACGACUCCGUCAUCCACGUUCAUUGGAACGCUUCCGCUCGCGAUCUACAAGGGUAUGUAGAUGCACUCCUUUCCCCUCGUUGCUAGUAUACUCCAUAGAUGCAUCUUGGUGAGCGUAGGAAAAUUUUAAAUUAUGCUACGAUUCCCUACAGUGAAAAAUCCCAGUCUCGAUCCGUGCCAACCCAACAGAUACUUUCGGAGAUACCCGUAGUGCAGCUUUAUAGUCACCCAGUUACAUUGUGACGUUUGGCACACCCAAAGUACUCCUACGGUAUCCGGGAGUUGCACGAUCUCAUGGUCUAAGGAGAAGAUACUUGACAUUGGAAAAGCUCUAGCAAACGAACUACACGAUCUUUGAGCUAUGCUUAGGAUUGGGUCUUGUCCAUCACAUCAUUCUCCUAAUGAUGUGAUCCCGUUAUCAAUGACAUCCAAAUGUCCAUAGUCAGGAAACCAUGACUAUCUGUUGAUCAACGAGCUAGUCAACUAGAGGCUUACUAGGGACACGUUGUGGUCUAUGUAUUCACACAUGCAUUACGAUUUCCGGAUAACACAAUUAUAGCAUGAACAAUAGACAAUUAUCAUGAACAAAGAAAUAUAAUAAUAACCAUUUAUUAUUGCCUCUAGGGCAUAUUUCCAACAGUCUCCCACUUGCACUAGAGUCAAUAAUCUAGUUACAUUGUGAUGAAUCGAACACCCAUUGCGUCCUGGUGUUGAUCAUGUUUUGCUCUAGGGAGAGGUUUAGUCAACGGAGCUGCUACAUUCAGGUCCGUAUGUACUUUACAAAUAUCUAUGUCUCCAUUUUGAACACUUUCACGAAUGGAGUUGAAGCGACGCUUGAUAUGCCUGGUCUUCCUAUGAAACCUGGGCUCCUUCGCAAGAGCAAUAGCUCCAGUGUUGUCACAGAAGAGAGUCAUCGGGCCCAACGCAUUGGAAAUCACCCCUAGGUCGGUAAUGAACUCCUUCAUCGAGACUGCUUCCUGUGCUGCCUCCGAGGCUGCCAUGUACUCCGCUUCACAUGUAGAUCCCGCCACGACGCUUUGCUUGCAACUGCACCAGCUUACUGCUCCUCUAUUCAAAAUAUACAGGUAUCCGGUUUGUGACUUCGAGUCAUCCAGAUCUGUGUCGAAGCUAGCGUCGACGUAACCCUUUACGACGAGCUCUUCGUCACCUCCAUAAACGAGAAACAUAUCCUUAGUCCUCUUCAGGUACUUCAGGAUAUUCUUGACCGCUGUCCAGUGUUCCAUGCUAGGAUUACUUUGGUACCUUCCUACCAAACUUACGGCAAGGUUUACAUCAGGUCUGGUACAUAGCAUGGCAUACAUAAUAGACCCUAUGGCCGAGGCAUAGGGGAUGACACUCAUCUUUUCUCUAUCUUCUGCCGUGGUCGGGCAUUGAGCCGUGCUCAAUUGCACACCUUGCAAUACAGGCAAGAACCCCUUCUUGGACUGAUCCAUAUUGAACUUCUUCAAUAUCUUGUCAAGGUAUGUACUCUGUGAAAGACCAAUGAGGCGUCUUGAUCUAUCUCUAUAAAUCUUGAUGCCUAAUAUAUAAGCAGCUUCUCCAAGGUCCUUCAUUGAAAAACACUUAUUCAAAUAGGCCUUUAUAGUUUCCAAGAAUUCUAUAUCAUUUCCCAUAAAUAGUAUGUCAUCCACAUAUAAUAUGAGAAAUGCUACAGAGCUCCCACUCACUUUCUUGUAAACACAGGCUUCUCCAUAAGUCUGUGUAAACCCAAACGCUUUGAUCAUCUCAUCAAAGCGAAUGUUCCAACUCCGAGAUGCUUGCACCAGCCCAUAGAUUGAGCGUUGGAGCUUGCAUACUUUGUUAGCAUUCUUAGGAUCGACAAAACCUUCCGGCUGCAUCAUAUACAACUCUUCCUUAAGGAAGCCGUUAAGGAAUGCCGUUUUGACGUCCAUCUGCCAUAUCUCAUAAUCAUAGUAUGCGGCAAUUGCUAACAUGAUUCGGACGGACUUCAGCUUCGCUAUGGGUGAGAAAGUCUCAUCGUAGUCAACCCCUUGAACUUGUCGAUAACCCUUAGCGACAAGUCGAGCCUUAUAGAUGGUCACAUUACCAUCCGCGUCCGUCUUCUUCUUAAAGAUCCAUUUGUUUUCUAUGGCUCGCCGAUCAUCGGGCAAGUCAGUCAAAGUCCAUACUUCGUUUUCAUACAUGGAUCCUAUCUCGGAUUUCAUGGCUUCUAGCCAUUUGUCGGAAUCCGGGCCCGCCAUCGCUUCUUCAUAGUUCGAAGGUUCACCGUUGUCUAACAACAUGAUUUCCGGGACAGGGUUGUCGUACCACUCUAGUGCGGAACGUGUCCUUGUGGACCUACGAAGUUCAGUAGUAACUUGAUCCGAAGCUUCAUGAUCAUCAUCAUUAACUUCCUCCCCAGUCGGUGUAGGCACCACAGGAACAUUUUCCCGUGCUGCGCUACUUUCCGGUUCGGAAGGGGUGACUAUCACCUCAUCAAGUUCCACUUUCCUCCCACUCAAUUCUUUCGAGAGAAACUCCUUCUCCAGAAAGGACCCGUUCUUGGCAACGAAGAUCUUGCCUUCGGAUCUGAGGUAGAAGGUAUACCCAAUGGUUUCCUUAGGGUAUCCUAUGAAGACGCAUUUUUCCGACUUGGGUUCGAGCUUUUCAGGUUGAAGUUUCUUGACAUAAGCAUCGCAUCCCCAAACUUUUAGAAACGACAGCUUAGGUUUCUUCCCAAACCAUAAUUCAUACGGUGUCGUCUCAACGGAUUUCGACGGAGCCCUAUUUAAAGUGAAUGCGGCAGUUGUUGGGAAUCGUAGCAUAAUUUUAAAAUUUUCCUACGCUCACCAAGAUGCAUCUAUGGAGUAUACUAGCAACGAGGGGAAAGGAGUGCAUCUACAUACCCUUGUAGAUCGCGAGCGGAAGCGUUCCAAUGAACGUGGAUGACGGAGUCGUACUCGCCGUGAUCCAAAUCACCGAUGACCGAGUGCCGAACGGACGGCACCUCCGCGUUCAACACACGUACGGUGCAGAGAAGUCUCCUCCUGCUUGAUCCAGCAAGGGGGAAGGAGAGGUUGAUGGAGAUCCAGCAGCACGACGGCGUGGUGGUGGAUGCAGCGGGUCUCCGGCAGGGCUACGCCGAACUUCUGCGAGACGGAGAGGUGUAACAGGGGGAGAGGGAGGCGCCCAAGGCUGUGUGUUGCUGCCCUCCCUCCCCCCCCUUUAUAUAGGCCCCCUGGGGGGGCGCCGGCCCUAGGAGAUGGAAUCUCCAAGGGGGGGCGGCGGCCAAAGGGGGGAAGGGGUUGCCUUGCCCCCCAAGGCAAGGGGGAAGCUCCCCCCCUAGGGUUCCCAACCCUAGGCGCAUGGGGGGAGGCCCAAGGGGGGCGCCCAGCCCACUAGGGGCUGGUUCCCUUCCACUUUCAGCCCAUCGGGCCCUCCGGGAUAGGUGGCCCCACCCGGUGGACCCCCGGGACCCUUCCGGUGGUCCCGGUACAAUACCGGUAACCCCUGAAACUUUCCCGGUGGCCGAAACUGGACUUCCUAUAUAUAAUUCUUCACCUCCGGACCAUUCCGGAACCUCUCGUGACGUCCGGGAUCUCAUCCGGGACUCCGAACAACUUUCGGGUUUCCGCAUACAUAUAUCUCUACAACCCUAGCGUCACCGAACCUUAAGUGUGUAGACCCUACGGGUUCGGGAGACAUGCAGACAUGACCGAGACGCCUCUCCGGUCAAUAACCAACAGCGGGAUCUGGAUACCCAUGUUGGCUCCCACAUGUUCCACGAUGAUCUCAUCGGAUGAACCACGAUGUCGAGGAUUCAGUCAAUCCCGUAUACAAUUCCCUUUGUCAAUCGGUAUGUUACUUGCCCGAGAUUCGAUCGUCGGUAUCCCAAUACCUUGUUCAAUCUCGUUACCGGCAAGUCUCUUUACUCGUACCGCAAUGCAUGAUCCCGUGACUAACGCCUUAGUCACAUUGAGCUCAUUAUGAUGAUGCAUUACCGAGUGGGCCCAGAGAUACCUCUCCGUCACACGGAGUGACAAAUCCCCGUCUCGAUCCGUGCCAACCCAACAGACACUUUCGGAGAUACCCGUAGUGCACCUUUAUAGUCACCAAGUUACGUUGUGACGUUUGGCACACCCAAAGCACUCCUACGGUAUCCGGGAGUUGCACGAUCUCAUGGUCUAAGGAAAAGAUACUUGACAUUGGAAAAGCUCUAGCAAACGAAACUACACGAUCUUUUAUGCUAUGCUUAGGAUUGGGUCUUGUCCAUCACAUCAUUCUCCUAAUGAUGUGAUCCCGUUAUCAAUGACAUCCAAUGUCCAUAGUCAGGAAACCAUGACUAUCUGUUGAUCAACGAGCUAGUCAACUAGAGGCUUACUAGGGACACGUUGUGGUCUAUGUGUUCACACAUGUAUUACGAUUUCCGGACAAUACAAUUAUAGCAUGAACAAUAGACGAUUAUCAUGAACAAAGAAAUAUAAUAAUAACCAUUUAUUAUUGCCUCUAGGGCAUAUUUCCAACAGCAGUCUCUAAAGCAUAGCCCCAAAAUGAGAGCGGUAAAUCGGUAAGAGACAUCAUAGAUUGCACCAUAUCUAAUAGAGUGCGAUUACGACGUUCGGACACACCGUUUCGCUGAGGUGUUCCAGGCGGCGUGAGUUGUGAAACGAUUCCACAUUUCCUUAAGUGCGCACCAAAUUCGUCACUUAAAUAUUCUCCACCACGAUCUGAUCGUAAGAAUUUUAUUUUCCUGUCACGUUGAUUCUCAACCUCACUCUGAAAUUCCUUGAACUUUUCAAAGGUUUCAGACUUGUGUUUCAUUAGGUAGACAUACCCAUAUCUACUUAAGUCAUCAGUGAGAGUGAGAACAUAACGAUAUCCUCCGCGAGCCUCAACACUCAUUGGACCGCACACAUCGGUAUGUAUGAUUUCCAAUAAGUUGGUUGCUCGCUCCAUUGUUCCGGAGAACGGAGUCUUGGUCAUCUUACCCAUGAGGCAUGGUUCGCACGUGUCAAAUGAUUCGUAAUCAAGAGACUCCAAAAGUCCAUCUGCAUGGAGCUUCUUCAUGCGCUUGACACCAAUGUGACCAAGGCGGCAGUGCCACAAGUAUGUGGGACUAUCAUUAUCAACUUUACAUCUUUUGGUAUUCACACUAUGAAUAUGUGUAACAUCACGUUCGAGAUUCAUCAAGAAUAAACCAUUGACCAGCGGGGCAUGACCAUAAAACAUAUCUCUCAAAUAAAUAGAACAACCAUUAUUCUCAGAUUUAAAUGAGUAGCCAUCUCGAAUUAAACGAGAUCCAGAUACAAUGUUCAUGCUCAAAGCUGGCACUAAAUAACAAUUAUUGAGGUUUAAAACUAAUCCCGUAGGUAGAUGCAGAGGUAGCGUGCCGACGGCGAUCACAUCGACCUUGGAACCAUUCCCGACGCGCAUCGUCACCUCGUUCUUUGCCAGUCUCCGUUUAUUCCGCAGUUCCUGUUUUGAGUUACAAAUAUGAGCAACCUCACUGGUAUCAAAUACCCAGGAGCUACUACGAGUACUGGUAAGGUACACAUCAAUUACAUGUAUAUCACAUAUACCUUUGGCGUUGCCGGCCUUCUUGUCCGCUAAGUAUUUGGGGCAGUUCCGCUUCCAGUGACCACUUCCCUUGCAAUAAAAGCACUCAGUCUCAGGCUUGGGUCCAUUCUUUGACUUCUUCCCAGUAACUGGCUUACCGGGCGCGGCAACUCCCUUGCCGUCCUUCUUGAAGUUCUUCUUACCCUUGCCCUUCUUGAACUUAGUGGUUUUAUUCACCAUCAACACUUGAUGUUCUUUUCUGAUCUCUACCUCCGCUGAUUUCAGCAUCGAAUACACCUCAGGAAUGGUCUUUUCCAUCCCCUGCAUAUUGAAGUUCAUCACAAAGCUCUUGUAGCUUGGUGGAAGCAACUCAAGGAUUCUGUCAAUGACCGCGUCAUCCGGGAGAUUAACUCCCAGCUGAGACAAGCGGUUGUGCAACCCAGACAUUCUGAGUAUGUGCUCACUAACAGAACUAUUCUCCUCCAUUUUACAGCUGAAGAACUUGUCGGAGACUUCAUAUCUCUCGACCCGGGCAUGAGCUUGGAAAACCAUUUUCAGCUCCUUGAACAUCUCAUAUGCUCCAUGUUUCUCAAAACGCUUUUGGAGACCCGGUUCUAAGCUGUAAAGCAUGCCGCACUGAACGAGGGAGUAAUCAUCAGCACGUGAUUGCCAAGCGUUCAUAACGUCUUGGUUCUCUGGGAUUGGUGCUUCACCUAGCGGUGCUUCUAAGACAUAAUCUUUCUUGGCAGCUAUGAGGAUGAUCCUCAGGUUCCGGACCCAGUCCGUAUAGUUACUGCCAUCAUCUUUCAGCUUGGUUUUCUCUAGGAACGCGUUGGAAUUGAGGACAACGUGGGUCAUUUGAUCUACAAGACAUAGUGUAAAGAUUUUAGACUAAGUUCAUGAUGACUAAGUUCAUAUAAUCAAAUUAUUCAAUGAACUCCCACUCAGAUAGACAUCCCUCUAGUCAUCUAAGUGAAACAUGAUCCGAGUUAACUAGGCUGUGUCCGAUCAUCACGUGAGACGGACUAGUCAAGAUCGGUGAACAUCUCCAUGUUGAUCGUAUCUUCUAUACGACUCAUGCUCGACCUUUCGGUCCUCCGUGUUCCGAGGCCAUGUCUGUACAUGCUAGGCUCGUCAAGUCAACCUAAGUGUAUUGCGUGUGUUCCGAGGCCAUGUCUGUACAUGCUAGGCUCGUCAACACCCGUUGUAUGCGAACGUUAGAAUCUAUCACACCCGAUCAUCACGUGGUGCUUCGAAACAACGAUCCUUCGCAAUGGUGCACAGUUAGGGGGAACACUUCCUUGAAAUUAUCAUAAGGGAUCAUCUUACUUAGUACCGUCGUUCUAAGCAAAUAAGAUGCAAACAUGAUAAACAUCACAUGCAAUCAAAUAGUGACAUGAUAUGGCCAAUAUCAUUUUGCUCCUUUGAUCUCCAUCUUCGGGGCACCAUGAUCAUCUUCGUCACCGGCAUGACACAAUGAUCUCCAUCAUCGUGAUCUCCAUCAUCGUGUCUUCAUGAAGUUGUCACGCCAAUGAUUACUUCUACUUCUAUGGCUAACGCGUUUUGCAAUAAAGUAAAGUAAUUUAUAUGGCGUUAUUCAAUGACACGCAGGUCAUGCAAAAUAAUAAAGACAACUCCUAUGGCUCCUGCCGGUUGUCAUACUCAUCGACAUGCAAGUCGUGAUUCCUAUUACAAGAAUAUGAUCAAUCUCAUACAUCACAUAUAUCAUUCAUCACAUCUUCUGGCCAUAUCACAUCACAUAGCACAUGCUGCAAAAACAAGUUAGACGUCCUCUAAUUGUUGUUGCAAGUUUUUACGUGGCUUGUAUAGGUUUCUAGCAAGAACGUUUCUUACCUACGUAAAACCACAACGCGAUUUGCCAAUUUCUAUUUACCCUUCAUAAGGACCCUUUUCAUCGAAUCCGUUCCGACUAAAGUACGAGAGACAGACACCCGCUAGCCACCUUAUGCAACUAGUGCAUGUCAGUCGGUGGAACCAGUCUCACGUAAGCGUACGUGUAAGGUCGGUCCGGGCCGCUUCAUCCCACAAUGCCGCCGAAACAAGAUAAGACUAGUAGCGGCAAGAAGAAUUGGCAACAUCUACGCCCACAACUGCUUUGUGUUCUACUCGUGCAUAGUAACUACGCAUAGGCCUGGCUCAUGAUGCCACUGUAGGGGAUCGUAGCAGAAUUUUAAAAUUUUCCUACGCUCACCAAGAUCCAUCUAUGGAGUAUACUAGCAACGAGGGGAAAGGAGUGCAUCUACAUACCCUUGUAGAUCGCGAGAGGAAGCGUUCCAAUGAACGUGGUUGAUGGAGUCGUACUCGUCGUGAUCCAAAUCACCGAUGACCGAGUGCCGAACGGACGGCACCUCCGCGUUCAACACACGUACGGUGCAGCGACGUCUCCUCCUUCUUGAUCCAGCAAGGGGGAAGGAGAGGUUGAUGGAGAUCCAGCAGCACGACGGCGUGGUGGUGGAAGUAGCGGGGUCUCGGCAGGGCUUCGCCGAGCUUCUGCGAGAGGGAGAUGUGUAGCAGGGGAGGAGGAAGGCGCCCAAGGCUGUUAUCCUACUGCCCUCCUUCCCCCCCCCCUUUAUAUAGGCCCCUGGGAGGGGGGGCGCCGGCCAGGAUCCCAUCUGGAUGGGGGGGGCGGCCAGGGGGGAAGACUUGCCCCCCAAGGCAAGUGGGGCGCCCCACCACCCUAGGGUUUCCAACCCUAGGCGCAGGGGGAAGGCCCAUGGGGGGCGCCCCAGCCCACUAAGGGCUGGUUGCCCUCCCACUUCAGCCCAUGGGGCCCUCCGGGAUAGGUGGCCCCACCCGGUGGACCCCCGGGACCCUUCCGGUGGUCCCGGUACAAUACCGGUGACCCCCGAAACUUUCCCGGUGGCCGAAACUUGACUUCCUAUAUAUAAUUCUUCACCUCCGGACCAUUCCGGAACUCCUCGUGACGUCCGGGAUCUCAUCCGGGACUCCGAACAACUUUCGGGUUUCCGCAUACACAUAUCUCUACAACCCUAGCGUCACUGAACCUUAAGUGUGUAUACCCUACGGGUUCGGGAGACAUGCAGACAUGACCGAGACGCCUCUCCGGUCAAUAACCAACAGCGGGAUCUGGAUACCCAUGUUGGCUCCCACAUGUUCCACGAUGAUCUCAUCGGAUGAACCACGAUGUCGAGGAUUCAAUCAAUCCCGUAUGCAAUUCCCUUUGUCAAUCGGUAUGUCACUUGCCCGAGAUUCGAUCGUCGGUAUCCCAAUACCUUGUUCAAUCUCCUUACCGGCAAGUCUCUUUACUCGUACCGUAAUGCAUGAUCCCGUGACUAACGCCUUAGUCACAUUGAGCUCAUUAUGAUGAUGCAUUACCGAGUGGGCCCAGAGAUACCUCUCCGUCAUACGGAGUGACAAAUCCCAGUCUCGAUCCGUGCCAACCCAACAGAUACUUUCGGAGAUACCCGUAGUGCACCUUUAUAGUCACCCAGUUAUGUUGUGACGUUUGGCACACCCAAAGUACUCCUACGGUAUCCGGGAGUUGCACGAUCUCAUGGUCUAAGGAGAAGAUACUUGACAUUGGAAAAGCUCUAGCAAACGAACUACACGAUCUUUGAGCUAUGCUUAGGAUUGGGUCUUGUCCAUCACAUCAUUCUCCUAAUGAUGUGAUCCCGUUAUCAAUGACAUCCAAAUGUCCAUAGUCAGGAAACCAUGACUAUCUGUUGAUCAACGAGCUAGUCAACUAGAGGCUUACUAGGGACACGUUGUGGUCUAUGUAUUCACACAUGCAUUACGAUUUCCGGAUAACACAAUUAUAGCAUGAACAAUAGACAAUUAUCAUGAACAAUGAAAUAUAAUAAUAACCAUUUAUUAUUGCCUCUAGGGCAUAUUUCCAACAGCGCCCCCCCCCCCUCUCCCAGGGGCCUAUAUAUAGUGGGGGGAGGGAGGGCAGCAAGACCACAGCCCCUGGCGCCUCCCUCUCCCCCUGCAACACCUCUCCCUCUCGCAGAAGCUUGGCGAAGCCCUGCCGAGAUCCCGCUACAUCCACCACCACGCCGUCGUGCUGCUGGAUCUCCAUCAACCUCUCCUUCCCCUUUGCUGGAUCAAGAAGGAGGAGACGUCGCUGCUCCGUACGUGUGUUGAACGCGGAGGUGCCGUCCAUUCGGCACUCGGUCAUCGGUGAUUUGGAUCACGGCGAGUACGACUCCAUCAACCCCGUUCACUUGAGCGCUUCCGCUCGCGAUCUACAAGGGUAUGUAGAUGCACUCCUUUCCCCUCGUUGCUAGUAUACUCCAUAGAUGGAUCUUGGUGAUGCGUAGGAAAUUUUAAAAUUCUGCUACGAACCCCAACAGUGGCAUCAUGAGCCAGGCCUAUGCGUAGUUACUAUGCACGAGUAGAGCACAAAGCUGUUGUGGGCGUAGAUCAUGUCAAUUUACUUGCCGCUACUAGUCCUAUCUUGUUUCGGCGGUAUUGUGGGAUGAAGCGGCCCGGACCGACCUUACACGUACGCUUACGUGAGACAGGUUCCACCGACUGACAUGCACUAGUUGCAUAAGGUGGCUAGCGGGUGUCUGUCUCUCCCACUUUAGUCGGAACGGAUUCGAUGAAAAGGGUCCUUAUGAAGGGUAAAUAGAAAUUGGCAAAUCACGUUGUGGUCAUACGUAGGUAAGAAACGUUCUUGCUAGAAACCUACAAACCACGUAAAAAAACUUGCAACAACAAUUAGAGGACGUCUAACUUGUUUUUGCAGCAAGUGAUAUAUGUGAUAUGAUAUGGCCAGCAGAUGUGAUGAAUGAUAUAUGUGAUGUAUGAGAUUGAUCAUAUUCUUGUAAUAGGAAUCACGACUUGCAUGUCGAUGAGUAUGACAACAGGCAGGAGCCAUAGGAGUUGUCUUUAUUAUUUUGUAUGACCUGCGUGUCAUUGAAUAACGCCAUGUAAAUUACUUUACUUUAUUGCUAAAUGCAUUAGCCAUAGAAGUAGAAGUAAUCGUUGGCGUGACAACUUCAUGAAGACACGAUGAUGGAGAUCAUGAUGAUGGAGAUCAUGGUGUCGUGCCGGUGACGAAGAUGAUCAUGGCGCCCCGAAGAUGGAGAUCAAAGGAGCAAAAUGAUAUUGGCCAUAUCAUGUCACUAUUUGAUUGCAUGUGAUGUUUAUCAUGUUUUGCAUCUUAUUUGCUUAGAACGACGGUAGUAAGUAAGAUGAUCCCUUAUAAUAAUUUCAAGAAAGUGUUCCCCCUAACUGUGCACCGUUGCGAAGGUUCGUUGUUUCGAAGCACCACGUGAUGAUCGGGUGUGAUAGAUUCUAACGUUCGAAUACAACGGGUGUUGACGAGCCUAGCAUGUACAGACAUGGCCUCGGAACACACGCAAUACACUUAGGUUGACUUGACGAGCCUAGCAUGUACAGACAUGGCCUCGGAACACGGAAGACCGAAAGGUCGAGCAUGAGUCGUAUAGAAGAUACGAUCAACAUGAAGAUAUUUACCGAUGUUGACUAGUCCGUCUCACGUGAUGAUCGGACACGGCCUAGUUAACUCGGAUCAUGUUUCACUUAGAUGACUAGAGGGAUGUCUAUCUGAGUGGGAGUUCAUUGAAUAAUUUGAUUAGAUGAACUUAAUUAUCAUGAACUUAGUCUAAAACCUUUACAAUAUGUCUUGUAGAUCAAAUGGCCCACGUUGUCCUCAACUUCAACGCGUUCCUAGAGAAAACCAAGCUGAAAGAUGAUGGCAGCAACUAUACGGACUGGGUCCGGAACCUGAGGAUCAUCCUCAUAGCUGCCAAGAAAGAUUAUGUCCUAGAAGCACCGCUAGGUGAAGCACCCAUCCCAGAGAACCAAGACGUUAUGAACGCUUGGCAAUCACGUGCUGAUGAUUACUCCCUCGUUCAGUGCGGCAUGCUUUACAGCUUAGAACCGGGGCUCCAAAAGCGUUUUGAGAAACAUGGAGCAUAUGAGAUGUUCGAAGAGCUGAAAAUGGUUUUCCAAGCUCAUGCCCGGGUCGAAAGAUAUGAAGUCUCCGACAAGUUCUUCAGCUGUAAAAUGGAGGAAAAUAGUUCUGUUAGUGAACACAUACUCAGAAUGUCUGGGUUACACAACCGCUUGUCUCAGCUGGGAGUUAAUCUCCUGGAUGACGCGGUCAUUGACAGAAUCCUUCAGUCGCUUCCAUCGAGCUACAAGAGCUUUGUGAUGAACUUCAAUAUGCAGGGGAUGGAAAAGACCAUUCCUGAGGUAUAUUCAAUGCUGAAAUCAGCGGAGGUGGAAAUCAAAAAGGAACAUCAAGUGUUGAUGGUGAAUAAAACCACUAAGUUCAAGAAGGGCAAGGGUAAGAAGAACUUCAAGAAGGACGGCAAGGGAGUUGCCGCGCCCGGUAAGCCAGUUGCCGGGAAGAAGCCAAGGAAUGGACCCAAGCCUGAGACUGAGUGCUUUUACUGCAAGGGAAGUGGUCACUGGAAGCGGAACUGCCCCAAAUACUUACCGGACAAGAAGGCCGGCAACACCAAAGGUAUAUGUGAUAUACAUGUAAUUGAUGUGUACCUUACCAGUACUCGUAGUAGCUCCUGGGUAUUUGAUACCGGUGCGGUUGCUCAUAUUUGUAACUCAAAACAGGAGCUGCGGAAUAAACGGAGACUGGCAAAGGACGAGGUGACGAUGCGCGUCGGGAAUGGUUCCAAGGUCGAUGUGAUCGCCGUCGGCACGCUACCUCUGCAUUUACCUACGGGAUUAGUUUUAAACCUCAAUAAUUGUUAUUUAGUGCCAGCUUUGAGCAUGAACAUUGUAUCUGGAUCUCGUUUAAUUCGAGAUGGCUACUCAUUUAAAUCCGAGAAUAAUGGUUGUUCUAUUUAUAUGAGAGAUAUGUUUUAUGGUCAUGCCCCGCUGGUCAAUGGUUUAUUCUUGAUGAAUCUUGAACAUGAUGUUACACAUAUUCAUAGUGUGAAUACCAAAAGAUGUAAAGUUGAUAACGAUAGUCCCACAUACUUGUGGCACUGCCGCCUUGGUCACAUUGGUGUCAAACGCAUGAAGAAGCUCCAUGCAGAUGGACUUUUGGAGUCUCUUGAUUACGAAUCAUUUGACACGUGCGAACCAUGCCUCAUGGGUAAGAUGACCAAGACUCCGUUCUCCGGAACAAUAGAGCGAGCAACCAAUUUAUUGGAAAUCAUACAUACCGAUGUGUGCGGUCCAAUGAGUGUUGAGGCUCGUGGAGGAUAUCGUUAUGUUCUCACUCUCACUGAUGACUUAAGUAGAUAUGGGUAUGUCUACCUAAUGAAACACAAGUCUGAAACCUUUGAAAAGUUCAAAGAAUUUCAGAGUGAGGUUGAGAAUCAACGUGACAGGAAAAUAAAGUUCUUACGAUCAGAUCGUGGUGGAGAAUAUUUAAGUCACGAAUUUGGUACGCACUUAAAGAAAUGUGGAUUCGUUUCACAACUCAUGCCGCCUGGAACACCUCAGCGAAACGGUGUGUCCGAACGUCGUAAUCGCACUCUAUUAGAUAUGGUGCGAUCUAUGAUGUCUCUUACCGAUCUACCGCUCUCGUUUUGGGGCUAUGCUUUAGAGACUGCCGCAUUCACUUUAAAUAGGGCUCCGUCGAAAUCCGUUGAAACGACACCGUAUGAAUUAUGGUUUGGGAAGAAACCUAAGCUGUCGUUUCUAUAAGUUUGGGGAUGCGAUGCUUAUGUCAGGAAACUUCAACCUGAAAAGCUCGAACCCAAGUCGGAAAAAUGCGUCUUCAUAGGAUACCCUAAGGAAACCACUGGGUAUACCUUCUACCUCAGAUCCGAAGGCAAGAUCUUUGUUGCCAAGAAUGGGUCCUUUCUGGAGAAAGAGUUUCUCUCGAAAGAAUUAAGUGGGAGGAAAGUGGAACUUGAUGAGGUGAUAGUCACCCCUUCCGAACCAGAAAGUAGCGCAGUGCGGGAAGGUGUUCCUGUGGUGCCUACACCGACUGGGGAGGAAGUUAAUGAUGAUGAUCAUGAAGCCUCGGAUCAACUUACUGCUGAACUUCGUAGGUCCACAAGGACACGUUCCGCACCAGAGUGGUACGGCAACCCAGUCCUGGAAAUCAUGUUGUUGGACAACGGUGAACCUUCGAACUAUGAAGAAGCGAUGGCGGGCCCGGAUUCCGACAAAUGGCUAGAAGCCAUGAAAUCCGAGAUAGGAUCCAUGUAUGAAAACGAAGUAUGGACUUUGACUGACUUGCCCGAUGAUCGGCGAGACAUAGAAAAUAAAUGGAUCUUUAAGAAGAAGACAGACGCGGAUGGUAACGUGACCAUCUAUAAGGCUCGACUUGUCGCUAAGGGUUAUCGACAAGUUCAAGGGGUUGAAGUCUGUCUGAAUCAUGUUAGCAAUUGCCGCAUUCUAUGAUUAUGAGAUAUGGCAAAUGGACGUCAAAACGGCAUUCCUUAACGGCUUUCUUAAGGAAGAAUUGUAUAUGAUGCAGCCGGAAGGUUUUGUCGAUCCUAAGAAUGCUGACAAAGUAUGCAAGCUCCAGCGCUCAAUCUAUGGGCUGGUGCAAGCAUCUCGGAGUUGGAACAUUCGCUUUGAUGAGAUGAUCAAAGCGUUUGGGUUUACACAGACUUAUGGAGAAGCCUGUGUUUACAAGAAAGUGAGUGGGAGCUCUGUAGCAUUUCUCUUAUUAUAUGUGGAUGACAUACUAUUGAUGGGAAAUGAUAUAGAAUUCUUGGAAAGUAUAAAGGCCUACUUGAAUAAGUGUUUUUCAUUGAAGGACCUUGGAGAAGCUGCUUAUAUAUUAGGCAUCAAGAUCUAUAGAGAUAGAUCAAGACGCCUCAUUGGUCUUUCACAGAGUACGUACCUUGACAAGAUAUUGAAGAAGUUCAAUAUGGAUCAGUCCAAGAAGGGGUUCUUGCCUGUAUUGCAAGGUGUGCAAUUGAGCACGGCUCAAUGCCCGACCACGGCAGAAGAUAGAGAAAAGAUGGGUGUCAUCCCCUAUGCCUCGGCCAUAGGGUCUAUUAUGUAUGCCAUGCUGUGUACCAGACCUGAUGUAAACCUUGCCGUAAGUUUGGUAGGAAGGUACCAAAGUAAUCCCGGCAUGGAACACUGGACAGCGGUCAAGAAUAUCCUGAAGUACCUGAAAAGGACUAAGGAUAUGUUUCUCGUAUAUGGAGGUGACGAAGAGCUCGUCAUAAAGGGUUACGUCGACGCUAGCUUCGACACAGAUCUGGAUGACUCUAAGUCACAAACCGUAUACGUGUAUAUUUUGAAUGGAGGGGCAGUAAGCUGGUGCAGUUGCAAGCAAAGCAUCGUGGCGGGAUCUACAUGUGAAGCGGAGUACAUGGCGGCCUCAGAGGCAGCACAGGAAGCAGUCUGGAUAAAGGAGUUCAUUACCGACCUAGGGGUGAUUCCCAAUGCGUCGGGCCCGAUGACUCUCUUCUGUGACAACACUGGAGCUAUUGCCCUUGCCAAAGAGCCCAGGUUUCAUAGGAAGACCAGGCAUAUCAAGCGUCGCUUCAACUCCAUUCGUGAAAGUGUUCAGAAUGGAGACAUAGAUAUUGGUAAAGUACAUACGGACCUGAAUGUAGCAGAUCCGUUGACUAAACCUCUCCCUAGAGCAAAACAUGAUCAACACCAGAACUCUAUGGGUGUUCGAUUCAUCACAAUGUAACUAGAUUAUUGACUCUAGUGCAAGUGGGAGACUGUUGGAAAUAUGCCCUAGAGGCAAUAAUGAAAAUGGUUAUUAUUAUAUUUCCUUGUUUAUGAUAAUUGUCUAUUAUUCAUGCUAUAAUUGUGUUAUCCGGAAAUCGUAAUACAUGUGUGAAUACAUAGACCACAAUGUGUCCCUAGUAAGCCUCUAGUUGACUAGCUCGUUGAUCAACAGAUAGUCAUGGUUUCCUGACUAUGGACAUUGGAUGUCAUUGAUAACGGGAUCACAUCAUUAGGAGAAUGAUGUGAUGGACAAGACCCAAUCCUAAGCAUAGCGCAAAGAUCGUGUAGUUCGUUUGCUAGAGCUUUUCCAAUGUCAAGUAUCUUUUUCCUUAGACCAUGAGAUCGUGUAACUCCCGGAUGCCGUAGGAGUGCUUUGGGUGUGCCAAACGUCACAACGUAACUGGGUGACUAUAAAGGUGCACUACGGGUAUCUCUGAAAGUAUCUAUUGGGUUGACACGGAUCGAGACUGGGAUUUGUCACUCCGUAUGACGGAGAGGUAUCUCUGGGCCCACUCGGUAAUGCAUCAUCAUAAUGAGCUCAAUGUGACUAAGGAGUUAGCCACGGGAUCAUGCAUUAUAGUACGAGUAAAGAGACUUGCCGGUAACGAGAUUGAACAAGGUAUUGGGAUACCGACGAUCGAAUCUCGGGCAAGUAACAUACCGAUUGACAAAGGGAAUUGUAUACGGGAUUGAUUGAAUCCUCGACAUCGUGGUUCAUCCGAUGAGAUCAUCGUGGAACAUGUGGGAGCCAACAUGGGUAUCCAGAUCCCGCUGUUGGUUAUUGACCGGAGAGGUGUCUCGGUCAUGUCUGUGUGUCUCCCGAACCCGUAGGGUCUACACACUUAAGGUUCGGUGACGCUAGGGUUGUAGAGAUAUUAGUAUGCGGAAACCCGAAAGUUGUUCGGAUUCCUGGAUGAGAUCCCGGACGUCACGAGGAGUUCUGGAAUGGUCCGGAGGUAAAGAAUUAUAUAUAGGAAGUCUAGCUUCGGCCACCGGGAAAGUUUCGGGGGUUAUCGGUAUUGUACCGGGACCACCGGAAGGGUCCCGGGGGUCCACCGGGUGGUGCCACCUAUCCCGGAGGGCCCCAUGGGCUGAAGUGGGAAGGGAACCAGCCCUUAGUAGGCUGGGGCGCCCCGCUUGGGCCUCCCCCUGCGCCUAGGGUUGGAAACCCUAGGGGUGGGGGGCGCCCCACUUGCCUUGGGGGGCAAGCUUCCCCCCUGGCCGCCCCCCCCCCUUGUAGAUGGGAUCCANNNNNNNNNNNNNNNNNNNNNNNNNNNNNNNNNNNNNNNNNNNNNNNNNNNNNNNNNNNNNNNNNNNNNNNNNNNNNNNNNNNNNNNNNNNNNNNNNNNNNNNNNNNNNNNNNNNNNNNNNNNNNNNNNNNNNNNNNNNNNNNNNNNNNNNNNNNNNNNNNNNNNNNNNNNNNNNNNNNNNNNNNNNNNNNNNNNNNNNNNNNNNNNNNNNNNNNNNNNNNNNNNNNNNNNNNNNNNNNNNNNNNNNNNNNNNNNNNNNGCCUAUAUAUAGUGGGGGGAGGGAGGGCAGCAAGACCAUAGCCCCUGGCGCCUCCCUCUCCCCCUGCAACACCUCUCCCUCUCGCAGAAGCUUGGCGAAGCCCUGCCGAGAUCCCGCUACAUCCACCACCACGCCGUCGUGCUGCUGGAUCUCCAUCAACCUCUCCUUCCCCCUUGCUGGAUCAAGAAGGAGGAGACGUCGCUGCUCCGUACGUGUAUUGAACGCGGAGGUGUCGUCCGUUCGGCACUCGGUCAUCGGUGAUUUGGAUCACCGCGAGUAUGACUCCAUCAACCCCGUUCACUUGAACGCUUCCGCUCGCGAUCUACAAGGGUAUGUAGAUGCACUCCUUUCCCCUCGUUGCUAGUAUACUCCAUAGAUGGAUCUUGGUGAUGCGUAGAAAAUUUUAAAAUUCUGCUACGAUCCCCAACACUUGAAGCCUUCAAGGAGUUCCAUGCCAAGGUUGAAAGAGAAACUGGCAGGAAAUUGAAGUGCGUGAGAUCAGAUAAUGGUGGUGAAUACAGAGGUCCUUUUGAAAGGUAUUGCAGAAAUGUUGGCAUCGGGCUUGAGAAGAGUCCACCAAAGACACCUCAGCUCAAUGGUCUUGCAGAGAGAAUGAACAGGACACUCACAGAGAGGGUCACAGCUAUGCUCUCUCAUGCUCAUUUACCUAAUUCUUUUUGGGCUGAAGCAUUGAUGAAUGCUAUGUAUGUGGUUAACCUAUCUCCCUCAGUUUCUCUUGCAUGUGAUAUUCCUCAGAGAGUUUGGUCAGGGAAGGAGGUAUCAUACAAGCACUUGAAGGUCUUUGGUUGUAGGGCAUUUGUACAUGUUCCAAGGGACGAGAGAUCCAAGCUUGAUAGCAAGACAAAGCAGUGCAUCUACCUCAGCCAACCAAGUGAAGAGUUUGGCUAUAGGUUGUGGGAUCCAGCAAAUAGAAAGAUUGUGAGAAGCCGAGAUGUGGUGUUCAUUGAACAUGAAACAAUAAAAGAUAUUGGGAAACUAGAGAAGCCAAUGACCGACACACCUCAGGUUGACAUGGAUCCAAUUCGUCCUCCUCUUAUGCAUGACAAUCAUGGGGGAGAUGAUGACACUGAAGACAAUGAAGAUGCAACUGACCAAGGCAAUACAAAUCAAAGUGACGAGCAACCAUCAAGUGAUGAUGAUGAUGAUGAUGAAGUUGGUAAUGAUAAUGCCAACGAAAAUUCACCUGAUUCACCACCAGUGCAGCAGCAAAGAAGAAGUGAAAGAAGUCACAUUCUUUCUUCUAAAUAUCCACCACAUCAAUAUGUGUUGAUGACAGAUGCAGGUGAGCCCUCAUGAUAUGAGGAGGCAAUGUCUGAUGAGAACAAAGAAGAAUGGUCAGAAGCCAUGUAGGAUGAGAUGAAUUCCCUGUACGAGAAUGAUACUUUUGAGUUGGUGAAUCUGCCAAAGGGCAAGAAAGCACUCAAGAACAAGUGGGUGUACAGAGUGAAGACUGAAGAAAACACCUCACAUCCAAGAUACAAGGCUAGAUUGGUUGUGAAAGGAUUUAGUCAGAAAAAGGGCAUUGAUUAUGGUGAGAUAUUCUCUCCAGUGGUCAAGAUGUCUUUGAUCCGAGUUGUGCUUGGCAUGGCUGCCACCAUGGACUUGGAAAUUGAACAACUUGAUGUGAAGACUGCAUUCUUACAUGGUGACCUAGAGGAGGAGAUAUACAUGGAGCAGCCAGAGGGAUUCAUGGUUGCAGGCAAGGAGCACUUAGUUUACAAAUUGAAGAAGAGCUUGUAUGGCUUGAAGCAAGCUCCUCGGCAGUGGUACAAGAAGUUUGAGUCCUUUAUGACUGGGCUUGGUUACCAUAAAGCACAUACUGAUCAUUGUGUCUUUAUGAAGAGGUACGCCGAGGGUGACUUCAUUAUUCUCUUGUUGUAUGUUGAUGAUAUGUUGAUUGUUGGAAAUGGCACAGAGAGGAUUGCUCUCCUCAAGAAGGCAUUGAGUAAAUCAUUCGCCAUGAAGGAUUUAGGACUAGCUAAGCAAAUACUUGGCAUGAAGAUCUCCCGUGAUAGAUCAAAGAAGCUGCUUUGGCUCUCACAGGAAAGAUACAUUGAGAAGGUACUUUAAAGGUUCAAUAUGAAAGAUGCAAAAUCCAUUAUCUCUCCGCUUACAGGCCAUCACAAACUGAAUUCAAAACAAUGUCCUACAAGCAAGAAGGAGAAAGAAGAAAUGAGGAAAGUACCCUACCAAUCUGUUGUGGGCAGUUUGAUGUAUGCCAUGGUAUGCACUAUGCCUGAUAUUGCCUAUGCAGUUGGAGUUGUUAGCCGGUUCAUGAAAAAUCCAGGUAAAACUCACUGGGAAGCAGUGAAGUGGAUUCUCGAGUAUCUCAAGGGUACUUCUACAUCUUGUCUAUGCUUUGGAAGCGGUGAUCCUGUAUUGCGGGGCUAUACAGAUGCAGAUUAUGCAGGUGACAAGGAUCGUAGGAAGUCCACAUCUGGAUACCUGAUGACUUAUGCAGGGGGAGCGGUGUCAUGGCAAUCAAGAUUGCAGAAAUGUGUUUCUACAUCAACUACAGAAGCUGAGUACAUUGCAGCCGUUGAUGCUGGCAAGGAAGUUUUGUGGAUGAAGAACUUCUUGCAAGAGCUCGGCAUGAAUCAAGAGAAGUAUGUUCUGUUUUGUGACAGUCAGAGUGCUAUUCAUCUUGCCAAGAAUUCAAGCUAUCACUCUCGAACCAAGCACAUUGAUGUGAGGUACCAUUGGAUUCGAGAUGUUUGGUUGGAGCAUCUGCCAUAUGUUGGGAUAUCCUCCUCAUGUGGGUUGUGAGGAGAUGGUCAUUUAAAGCCUUUUUAGGUAGCCAAAGAGGUGCAGAAGCCCACUACCCAUUAGGGUUAUGACCUAGGGUCAUUUUGGACUUUGCACAUGAGUGGAUGGGGAUGCUUUACCCUCCAUCCAGCAGCCACCACCAAGUGUGACGAAAAUCAGUUCAUCCUCCAAGAGAGAAGAAGAGAGAAAACCAAGAGAGCAAGGGAAGAAGAGGAAGAUUGAAGGAAGAAGCAAAGGGAGCUCCUCCCCAAGGUUGUGAUGGUCCAGAUCCACUACCUUGUCUCCUUCAAGCUUCGGUUCCACCAUCUUUGGUGAGAUUGUUCCAAUCCCUAGUUCUUGAGCUCCAAAUCUUAUUGUGUUCAUCCAAGAAUCAGAAAUCUUGAUGUAUGAGAUCCUCUGGUGUUGUCUAGAGAAGAACUUGUUGUAUCCCACAUUUGAUAAUAGUGGAAGAGGAUUUGGGUGGCUUCGGCCCGUGGUUUUUCCCCUCAAGUUGGGGGGUUUUCCACGUAAAAUCUGGUGUCUCUUUGUUGAUGCUUGGCGCUGUCCAGAAACUUACUCCUACCAUAAGACACUAGGCUGAGGAGUGUUUUGCGUGCUGAGUAACAUUUUCUGCCUCCAUAUAUGCUGCUGCAUAUGUUUCCUUCCGUGCUAAGCAACGAUCCUUGAGUUAGUACAUGAUGUGGUGCUGAGAUUACUUUGUUUCCGCUGUAGUUUUCAAUUAAUCACAAGUGCAUUUGUGUGCUAAUUCCCAACACCAUAUACGCCCGGACGGAUGGCUGGUCCGGUCAUUAAUGGGUCAAAAAAAAUCCAACUCGGACAGACGCCUCAAACCUAUCUCAAAUGCCCGGACUGACCUACACCUUCAUAAACAUCCUAAAUAUGGGGCGGAUAUAGGUAGACUCAGACGCGACCGGACGCGUUUGCCACGUCGAACCCGGCCCACACUAGCCCACAAGACCCCACAUAUAUUCGUCCCCAUAAACUUCCCAGAUCAAACCCUGGCCACUCCACUCUCCUUCACUUCACUCCGCCACCAAGCUCUCGUCCGAUGAUCUGUGGGCUUCACCGGCAUGGCGGACAGCGUAUCCGAGUCCUACACCUCCAGAUCGUCAACCCCGAGCUCAUCCCACGCGGCCCCGGGAAGGAGAUGACCAUCCGGCUCGCAAUCCGUCGCUCCCGGGAGGAGGCCGCCCAAAGGCAGCGCUUGGAGUCCUUCCGUGGGGAAUCCAUUGCGCCCGCACAAAUGGUGCGUGGAUCCGCCAGGAGGUGUGUCGUCGCUGCCUCACCCCUUCGUUGUGGCGGACGCCAAGCCAGUUUGUAUGGCUUUCGAAUGUUGUGGCGGACGCGCAACCCCUUCGUUGGCGCUCCAAGCAGGAGGUGAACGCAUGGGCGUCGUCAGACGCAACCAUGGCACGGUGUGCCAGCUGUGCGAUGCAGCGGGUGCAGGGGACAAUGGCAGCCCUCGCGGCGGUGGACGUUGACGAGGCGGGGUCGCAUUCUCCAGCACCCAGUACGGUGCACCAAUCCGGGCAACGCAACCGCAUCGUGGUGGAUGUCGCCGGCUCGUCGCAGGACGGAUCCAUCAUAGAUAUAACGUCCACCGGCACCAUCAGGGUUCCAAACUCCCGCGAGGAAGACUAGGCAUGGGAGACAACAGUGCCUUGAGCCCGUGAGCCGGGUCAUGUCCCGUAUCCUACUCUACGUCGCCGGUGACCCAACACUUUGAGGAGCGCAGGCGGACACCAGACAUGGGCACAGUGGAGCCGGACAAGAUCCAAUAGUAUGAAUUUGAGGUUUAUAAUUUAAGAUAUCCUGUAGUGAAAUGUUUAAAAUGUGAUCGAUCAUUGUCCGCGGACACGUCCAGACGUUUGGGAGGUCGGAUUUGCUGUAUCCGGCUCCAACCGUAGAUGCUCUUAUAUACUAGCACUAGAUCAUGAAGGCACGCGUUGCCGCGCCCGUUCAUCCUUAAGAAAGGAUACGUAAAUUAAAGAAAUGUUUGAUAAAAUUUAAAUGACUCAAAUUACAAUGCUUCAAUAUUGCGACGGGGCAUAAUUCUCAAUCAUUUAUUAGAAUUGUUUGACUAAUCACUUAAAUCCUUUGUUAGUGUUUUUUAGAGCCAAUGACAGUGGGAUUUGUUAGUGUUUUUCCUAUAUCACAAUCAUCAGAAUGUUCCAGAAAUAGACAUAACAAAAAACGUACAACAUUUUAUCUUAGUCUUGUGUUCUUAGUCUUGUGUGCUUUGCACAUAAUUGAACUCUCCGAGAGUUAUUCAAUGGAAUAUCUCAAUAGAAUUAGCUAUCUUCUUAGGUAAAAUGAGCAUGCUGCAGCAAGGCACAAACAGUAUUCAAAAUCAGGAUCCUCACAAGCAUUCCAAACAUUCAACAUAAUUUUUACUUAAAAGGUAAUCAUUGUAUAUAACCAUGAACAAGUCCGGAAACAACAAUGUGACAAAAAACUGUCUAACACCUCUUUAGCAAGUGCCACCACAAAUUAGUUUUCAGAAUGCUCUUGUAUGCUAUUUACCUGAACUUCCCUGUGCACAUAUUCUGCAGUUGAUACACCUGUAAAAGACAUGGCAUGCUAAGUAGCUAUGAUUAGUAUAACAUAAGCUAAACAGCUGAUUUGCAUGCUUGCAAAUUGCGUGGGUAACAUGCAAUAACGCAUACAAAGGUUUGUAUUGUUCAAACUGCCUCGCUCGACCAAUGUACUCAGAGAUUCAGGGAUAAUCUCUCUUGACAUACAUCUAUCACAAGAGAAAAGUGAAGGUAUAACUCAUAAGAAGUCUCAUAUUUAUCUCCUUCUACAACAUGAACGACAUUGCUACAUCAAUUGUUGGUUUAAUACUUUAGGACAUCAUUACCGAAAUUUUAAUUAUUGAUACAAAAUGUCUUCCAUGAGUAGGUAGGCGUGAACUGAAAAUUUCAAGUCAGAAAUUCAUAUAAAUCAUUGAGUAAAGAAAUUAAAAUAUACUUAAAAUAUGGGGAGAAAAGCUCACCUAGCCUUGGGACUCUUUGCGCCGUGAGGACCGAUGAGUAGCUGCCUUCAGGUCGGCUUUGUCGCCCAGCCUCUUACCCUGAGAAACUGUUGUCCUCUUUCUCCUAGAGUUGCUGCCGCCAAGGUAGCACUCGAGAUGGUGGCUUGUUGGCAUGCACUUACACGUGUGGCCUUAAUCGUCCAGCCGCGCAUUGGUCGCUGGUCGCGCGUGCUCUGGCCCGCAACCUCCAUGGAAGAACGUUGCAGGGCACGACAUUGCGAAGAUGAGACCCACCGCGGGGGCCUGCGGAGGAUGAGUAGAGGGCAUCAACGCCGAUGCCGACAAGCAAUAGAAGCUCGCCGCAGGGAUGGAGGUCGGCGGCGGCGCAACGCCGAAGAACAGGGAGCAGCUCGAGGUUUAGGUUAGGCGAUCUGGUAUGUUAGAUGGAUAACGUACGAAUCAGGCUAGGAGGCUUUCUACGCUCAACUGGAAAACUCUUGGGCCUUGUACCUAACGGCCCAAUUCGGGACAGUUAGCGUAACUCGUUCCCCGGAGCAGCAGCCCAAAAACUACGCUGGACGUCCAAACAAAUCCUGUGCGUAGGUGAGAGUGAUCCGACGGCUGUGAGCAUCAAAUCGCUGUGGAGGGCUGUAGCUCGCCCCGUUUUACUGUUUCUCAAUAGGACAAGCGACAGGAGAGGGAGUACUCUACUAGCACUGAAUGACGUGUACACGGCCACCUAAUUUAAAAAAAAAACAAGACCAACCCGGGCUAGACUAGCUUGUUGGCAUUUUUUAUAGAAAAAAACUCCGUGAGCACCAAACGCUCAAGCUGAGACUUGAACCCUGGUGGGCUGGCUACGAACUCCCAACCUUGCCAACUAGCUCAGUUCUCGCGGCCACCCAAUUUCAGUUGCCUUAAUCUAAUCAGUGUCGGCUCGCGACAACAAGCAUCCGUAAUCCUUUCUCCGAGAUGUUAACAUUUCACAAGUUACAUCAUCGACCUGACUCACUUGACUAGUUUCUUUAACCUAAUCAGGUCAACCACUACGAUCUAACCAAGAACAAAGAGAAUAUAUCGAUCGAAUCGCUUUAUCUACUACUGUAAUGACUACUCCAGCAAUUUCUCUGCCAGGAACUUGAUCGACUGGCCGCGUACGUACGUGUCAUUUGUUGUACGCGCUGCACACCUUCCUGACCUCGCCGGCGUCCCCCUCGAGCACGCCCACGGCCGCCAGCUUGGCCAUGGCCUCCGAGAACCGCCGCACGAACGCGUCGGGGCUGGCCGCGUAGUAGCCGACGUGGCCGGCCGUGGCGGGGUGCGUGGCGGCCUCCUGGUCCAGCUGCAGGAGGCUCCGGUUGCCAAUCAUCUGGCCGUAGCACGCGUUGUCGAUGGCGAACGGCGUGUCCGGGUCGAGGAACGCGGUGGGGUCGUCGUCCGGCGGCAGGUCGCCGCCGGCGAGGCCGCACGCCUCGGCCAUGUCGCGCCGGAGCGCCUCGUCCAUGGUGCCGUCCGGGUGCGCGAGGCGGUAGCGGAAGUGGGAGCAGCGCGUGGCGCCGACGGUGUGGGCGCCGAAGAGCACCACCGUCUCCUCCGCCGAGAAGCCCCUGGCGGCGAAGGAGCGGAGCGCGUCGUCGAGGCGCGCGAAGGGGGCCGGCAGGUCCACCUCCCAGGGGUUGGACUGCAGCCCGUCGCGGCGGCCGAGCGGGACGUCGUAGGCGGCGCCGCCGAGGAGGGCGACGGAGUCCCGCGCCAUGAGCGCCAGCGUGUCGGCGCAGGAGACCACGCCCGGGCAGGCCGACUCCAGGGCCUUCUUGACCCGGUUGACGAUGUUGAAGCCGCGCAGCGUCUGGUUCGGGAUCGCCACCCGCUCCGACGACCGCCCCGCCGCCGGCACGAUCAUCACCGACGCGUCGCACCCCUGUAUGCAUGCAUGACCGAUCACAAGUUGCACACGCACGUAGAGCUUGAGAUGGAGGGGCGGCCAUGGACCGUGGCACGUACGUACCCUGACGAAGCAGUCGUGGAAGAGCAUGCGGAUGAUGGCGGGGGCGAUGGUGCGGUCGUUGUAGAACUGCAGCUCCAUGGCCUGCCGCACCGUCGCCGCGGCGUCCGGGCACGUCGCGGCGUAGUAACCCACGUCCAGGGCUCCGACGACGCCGCGGCGGGCAAUGGCGCCCGCGAGCACGAGCUGCAGGAGAAGAACAUAGUACAUGCUCGUACGCAUGUCGAAGGUAAGCAUGUUGUGUCGUUGGUGCUGCAUCUGAUGUGAAUGUGAUGCAUGCACGCAUGCAUAGCUGAUAGGUGAGGUGAGUUUGAUGUACAAGCUGCAGAGUGUGUGUGUNNNNNNNNNNNNNNNNNNNNNNNNNNNNNNNNNNNNNNNNNNNNNNNNNNNNNNNNNNNNNNNNNNNNNNNNNNNNNNNNNNNNNNNNNNNNNNNNNNNNNNNNNNNNNNNNNNNNNNNNNNNNNNNNNNNNNNNNNNNNNNNNNNNNNNNNNNNNNNNNNNNNNNNNNNNNNNNNNNNNNNNNNNNNNNNNNNNNNNNNNNNNNNNNNNNNNNNNNNNNNNNNNNNNNNNNNNNNNNNNNNNNNNNNNNNNNNNNNNNNNNNNNNNNNNNNNNNNNNNNNNNNNNNNNNNNNNNNNNNNNNNNNNNNNNNNNNNNNNNNNNNNNNNNNNNNNNNNNNNNNNNNNNNNNNNNNNNNNNNNNNNNNNNNNNNNNNNNNNNNNNNNNNNNNNNNNNNNNNNNNNNNNNNNNNNNNNNNNNNNNNNNNNNNNNNNNNNNNNNNNNNNNNNNNNNNNNNNNNNNNNNNNNNNNNNNNNNNNNNNNGUGUGUGUGUGUGUGUGUGUGUGUGUGUGUGUUGAGUGUUGACUUUGUUUGCGCGUGUUGACUCUGUGUGCGAGACGAACGUAUCUAGGGCAGAGCAGGGCAGGUCGGCAACCGCCACAUUCAUGUGUUUGCAGAUCUGGCCCAGGUGUUGAUCCAAUACAUUUAAGCGAUCAACUCCUGAAUGUUUUUCUUUAAUCACUCACCAGGGAAGGAAUUCCCACCUGUAUAUUGAUCUCAAUUCAAAAGAGAGAUUGAUCCAGUUUACGUGGGCAACAGGAAGGGGGCAUCUCCAACACGGACCGUAAACAGACAUGAUAUUUGUCUGAAAAUCGAUCCGGACUAAUGUCCGGUCACUCAUACAGGAGCCGGCCAUCCAACCGUGCUCACAUACAAAUUUGAACAAAAAAUUAUAGUGUGAGCACUUAAAAAAAGAAAAGAAAGUGUAUCACUUGAAAUAGAAAAACUGAAACAAUUCAGUGCCUUCGGCCAUUGUGACUUGCAAAAUUUAGUGCCUUCCGCCAUCGUUACCCGCUUCGUCAUUGAACGCACUUAAAAGGGAAAAAAGAGUGUAGAACUUGAAAAAAAAAUUGAAACAAUAGUGCUUCCGCCAAAUGCUAGUCUUACACUAGUAGAAAAAGGGCCUUUAGUCCCGGUUCAUAAGGGCCUUUAGUCCCGCUUCUGGAACCGGGACUAAAGGGUCGUUACUAAAGCCUCCCAUUUAUGAUUUUUUUUUCAAAAUUUUUUUGAAUUUUUUUUUUUCAAAUUUCUGAAUUAUUUUAAUCUCUAAUCUCUAAUCACCCCUCAUCACUGCUCAAUUUAACCUCUAAUCUCUAAUCUCUAAUCACUGCACUUGUUGUUUUCCUGACAAUAGUAAGAUGUCAAUCCUAUUAACCCUCAGGAAUUUAGCUUGAGCAUGAAGUCACACAUUUCACUGUUUGAGUUUGAAACUAUUGUUUAAAAAACAAUAAUUAUUUAGUAACACUAAUAUUUCUUGAAUAAGUAGUUUGACCAUAGUUUGACCAGAUUUGGCCAAAAUUCAAAAAAAACUGAAAUAGUUAUUUAGUAACACUAAUAUUUCUUGAAUAAUUAGUUUGACCAUUGUUUGACCACAGUUUGACCAGAUUUGACCAAAAUUUAAAAAAACUGAAAUAAUUAUUUAGUAACACUAAUAUUCUUGAAUAAUUCUUUAGUAACACUAAUACUUCUUGAAUAAGUAGUUUGACCAGAUUUAACAAAAAAUUCAAAAAAAACAAAAAUUUGAGCAUAACUUUUUUUCCUUUUAGAAUUUGAGGAUUCUAAAAAUUUGCAAACAGGCCGUAGCCAUGCCCUUUAGUCCCGGUUUGUGUCUCAAACCGAGACUAAAGGGCUCAGGUGAACCGGGACUAAUGCCUUAGCCACACGCACCGGGACCAAUGCUCACAUUAGUCCCGGUUCGUGACUGAACCGGGACUAAUGUUAAUAUUGCCCUGUGACCAAAGCCCUGUUUUCUACUAGUGUUAGUGGCUUUCCGCCAUUGGAAAGAGGAUACAUGGUGGCUUUGAAUUGGCCAAUCUGGACUCCCGCAAAACUUUCCUUUAUUUGUCUACGGUUUGCAGGAAAACGGGCGUCCGAACCCGUUGGCGGACCGAUGCGGGACUGCAUUGGAUAGCAAAUUGCGUCCGAACAACGCGGCUCGAAUGGAUACGGCCGAUUUGAGGUCCGCUUUGGGGAUACCCUAAUAAAUGCUGCCGAGGCAAGAAACGUAGAAACGCACAAAAACACCAAAUACAUAAUUAUAACGCAGCACAAGAUUAUGGCUCAGGUGUUGAUCCAAUACAUUUAUAAUCUCGAUGCGCAAAGAGAAGCACGAAUGAUAUCUUUGCGUCCUUUCACACAUGAGUUGAGUUGAUUAUAUAUAUCACACCGACCACCCUGUCUAUUGAAUUCUUGUUUUGGGUAGGUUUGACAUCUUUCGCGCAAGGUUUGAUGAACUUGUCUGCUGGCCUUGUUUUUUCAUCCAUAGCUGUCAAUGCUCCAAGGAAUUGAAAGGAUCCAUGUCUCUAAUUCUCAUGUCAUCCAACUUGCACAACAAAUACUACUGGCAAAUUGAGUGCUUCAAAACAAAACAAAUUACACAAUAGCUAUAUGUAAGUCGUCUGGAUUUGCAAUUUAGGACAGUUGAUUUUCGAGUGAAGGAAGAGCAGGCGGAGGGAAGGAAGGAGUUCGUCGUCUCACGGAGAAGCUGUCCCAUUAUCUAUCUUAGAGCGGUAGGCUACCCUACUAUCAAUCUUUGGAUCGCAGGCUGCGCAGGCUCGUCGAAAAAAUUGGUGCGUGGCGGCUGGGGGCGGGGAGCAGCAGUGGCUCAACGGUUCGAAGGGAAAAGACGACAAUUGGAGGUUGAAGGCGGGCAUCUGGCCAUCUAAUUAACAUCGGACGGCUGAAAACCAAUGCCCAAAUUACAUUUUCGGAUCAAUGCCUAACUUCAUUUCCAGACCGAUGGCCAUAUAUCUGUAAUUAGCACGCUCUUCUUUCUUUUUGGCCAGGAAAGUAACAGACUCUGACAGGACGCGUAAGUAUACGUGAGAAACAUCCACGAUAUUCAGACCUCACUUAAGAUUCCGGCAGUUUUUGUUUUCCCUCUCAAAAAUAGAAGAAUGAUAUCUUUGGUUCUUAAGAUCUUACAGUGUUCGUGUACUCAGACCGUCCCCGCAAAUUCGGCACUUUCAACCAUGGGAAAUCAGGGUCUGAAGAUUUUAAAACAAUUUAAAUCCAUUUUCAUUUAGUAUCAGCUGUCCAAUUUAACAUAAAAAUGAAUAAGAUAGCAGGUGGUUUCUUUAUAAUGCCUUGGGAGAUUCAAAAUACUUAGAUUAGUAAAUUCUAACCAAAAUCACAAUGUUACUUUCUCAACACAUGCUGAGUGUAAAUUACUGUGGGCACGAGAGCAUAGGUACCAAAGACGCAUGAUUUCAAUUUUAAAUUGCAACACCAGCUUCUAAUGGUCUACCACCAUAUUUUGUACAGAAAAAGAUAUUCAACAUCAUCCUUUCUCCGCAUCACGACCACAUUUCAGCCAAAAUCGGUACAGUAUAAUCCACUAUCGCAAAUUUAGGUUGGAUCAUCGCCUCAAAACCGGCAGGCAUGUGUGCCAACUUGACUCACCUAUUCACUAACAUAUAUACAAAAAAAAUAUUCAGCUCUCAU